rnacentral:lncRNA from 1 species
GGCGAUCACGCUUCCUUCCUGCCCCUCGCCGGUUUGCCGCCUUUAUUACCUUUGCCUGAAAAAUUAAAAAUAAGGAGGGUGAAUAUAAAAAUACCCAGUAAGCGACCCUCUACUGGUCCCGUCAGGGAAAAAUAAAUUGUUAACAUUCUAUUGGGACACCCUGCACAGUCGCAGUCUUGUGAUCCCGUAGGAUGCACAUUUCAGUCUAACGCCCCGAGAGACGUACAUUUCAGUCUAGUGUUCUGCAGAAACACAUAUCAGUUCUAAUGCUCCCGAAGGUCGGCAUAAAAAUUGGUGAUCCCGUAGGACACCUACAAGGCAUACAUCCCAAUAAAACUAACAAUUUUUCCCCUCAAUCCAUUCUAACUAUCUUUACGAUAAUUUAUGACAUCUUUCAGUUACUUCAAAAUAUCAAGUUCUUUCACUCAACAUUCUAACAGUCAACCUAUCUCACUUAAGUUCGAAGGUCGUUGAUAACAUUUUAAUACAUCCGUCAAGUAAACCACAAAGUCACAACACCCCUCAUUUUUACCAGCGCAAACCACAGUUCAUUAUAAGACACACCCAACUGAAACAAAUUCACCAAUUCACAUCCAAAAUUUUAUACAGCACAGUCUACUAAUAUCAUCCUAUCUACAUCCACACCUGCAUGUUUAAUCCCAAGACAAUCUCCAUAUAUAUUCAACAUCAAAUCUGCGUCAAUUUAUGUAUAUGCAUAAUUUUCAGUCAUUCACAGUAUACAUUCAACAAUCCACAUCAAUCCAUUCAUAAAUAUAUGUAUAUUAUAUAUAUAUAUAUAUUAUAUAUAUAUAUAUAUAUUUCCAGUUAAACACAAUAUACACUAAACAUUUAAUCUGCAACCAAAUGUGUAUAUCAUAACCAUCAUCUUUACUAAGUUUCGAUAUAAGGAUAUCGUCCAACACAACUGAAAACUUUAGGUGAGUCCAGUAGAAAGUCCCUUACCUCAAGUUUACGGUAAAGUUCUUUAAUCGUACUAAAUCCAAUAAAUUAAAUUCCAAGUAGAAUGAAACAACAAUUCCAAUGAAGCUCACUUCGAAACAUAGAUAUCCAAGCACGACUCUCCAAUAUCACCUUAAAAUCAAGCAAUACCCAAAUCAAUUAAUCAAUUUUAAAACUUACGCUAGCCAAGAACAAUACUACUAAAUCCACAAUUUCUCCUUACCAAUGAAAUCACAACAUAACUUUGACGAUUGACAAUAAAAUAGAAUCAGCGACAAUCGAAUGAAAUUGAUGCGUGCAAAACAGAUAUGCACUACAAUAAAGAUGGACGUCAGACCCGCGACUGGGAAAACGGGGAGUUGCGCGACAGAUGAGGACUUCACGAUGCACAACUGUUGGAUGCUACACGGCUCGUAUCUGAACGACGAGCGUCGGCAAAACUAUUGGGACGGGGCUACGGGUGGGGACACGGCGUUGGGACGGGGCUACCGAUGGGGACACGGCGUUGCAGAUCUGGACAACGGCACGGAGAGACACGGCGGUUACAGGCGGAUGGGCGCGGCGGUUUAGAUUCAAAGAAGAAAGAAAUGUGGCGACUGGGUUUCAGUUUCGGUGAACGAAAUGUGACGAAAAUCACGGGCGGCUGGACUUCACGAAUGGAGACCGGUGUAGACGUAGCCGGAAGAACGAGAAGGUGAGAGGGACGUGACGCCGAUGACACCAACCGACGACGACGACGACGUUCAACUUCAAUGGAAGAUCGAGACGAUCGGCGGUCGACUGCAGAUCUGAAAGGAAAGAAAAGAAAAAGAAAAAGAAAGAUGGGGGAGGCUAUGGAGGCUAGGGUAUUGGGAUGAAGUAGGAGAAGAAGAGAAAAAAAAAAAAAGAAGGAAGAAGACGGGGAAGGGUCACGCGAGAGAGAGAAGAAGAAGAGAAAUUUUAAUUUCCUUCUUUUUUUUAUAAAUUAAUAAUUAAUAAUAAUAUUAUUAUAUUAUUAUUAUUAUAUUACCUUUUCAUCCUACACUUCUUUUCUUUCCCAAUAAUUAAAUUUCUGUUCCAAGCCUAAAGAAAUAAAAUAACACUCCACAAAAAAUUAAAAUCCUAAAAAUAGAGCAAUCUGAUUAAAAUCAAUUAGCUUAGAGUUCGGGGUUUUACAAUAGAAGAAACACAAUUUGCAAGCAUAACCAAUAAAAAUGAAGAUUGAAUAUAAUGUACUGCAAUAAAAUUAAAAUACUAAAAGAAUCUUGUGGUCCCUUCCUUUUCUUCUUUGUUUUUGAUAAAGUAACUGCAUUUAUCACACAAACAAUUAGAUAGAAGACUUAAAACACUAAUCUGCAUUAGACUAAGCUGAUAUUUUUCCUCUUUCUUUGUAAGUUAAAAACCACAUGAGUUUGACACUGAUUACUACCACCACAAGUCAUUUAACUUCUUCAACUGCCUCAUACUUUUCACACGAAACUGCGUCAUACAAAUUAACCCAUAAUAAAGAUAUCCAAAUUCCAAACCAAUCCGAUUAGUUUCUGAAAUCAGUAACUCUCAUGGAAGGAAAAACUUAGACAGACUGAUGCAGAAAUUGAGAAAUGAAAGUUUGAAAAAGAUUCUUACAUCUUUGUCUAUUAGAAAAAAAAAUCGAUUUCUUGCAGUAGAAUCGUUGUUCCCUGCCAUUCUCAAAACAACCUGAAUAGCCAUGUUAAGAACAUCGAGCUCUGCACUGAAGUUGAAAGAGGAGAAAAAACAACAUGUUGAAACAAAUGAAGGUUAAACCAAAAGGAUUGAACUAUAGUUUCCAAAGUUUUCAUUUCUCUGAUAUUCACGUAAUAGUAAUAGUAAUAGUAAUAGUAAUUCCUCUUUGAAACAACCACUUUUGUUUCAACAAAGAGGACAAGGCUUAUGAUCCCUAAAUAGUUAGCAGUAUUGCUAUUUGGAGAAAAUGUUAAAGUUAAACAGCUGACAAUACCUUCCAGCCCCUACCAGUACUAUCUUUUGGUUAACAAAAUCACUCAAUGACCGCCCUUGAGCUCUCACAUUUCCAAUAGUCCACGCGAGAGCAACACCAGCAGUUCCCUUUAUGAAAUGAAAUAAAUGAAAAUAUAUGUCCUUUUAAGUAAUUAUCAACUGCAUGAAUACAUGAACAAUGAACUACCCACUUGUAUAUGUCAUCGUUGAACAUGCAGAACCUCUUACGAUAACGUUGUAAUGUUUCAAAAGCCCAUUUCAUUUGAAAAUCCUCAAACUGGCAUUAUUCAAAAUCAAAUUGCGAGAAUACAAUACUGAUUACUGGCAGUGAACACAGUUAAAAAUUUGAUAUCUUAACCAAUAAACCUGAACAAUAGCUUUAGGCCAACAUGUAUGCACGACUUCCAUAAAUUCAUCAACAAUAGAUAGAUACUCUUCUCCCUCCAAUCUAGGUAUUCCUAUUCCCUGAACUCCAAGGUCACCGAGGCCAAGAAUACGACUUCCAUCUGUCAAGACAAUCACAUCAACCUGUAGUUGGAAGAAGAAAAUACAAUGAACUUCAAAUAUGGUGUUGCUGGAAAUUAAAAGGGAUAUUCAUUUUUAUUUUGCUCAAAAUCAAUGCUCUUGAGCUUUUAAUGUCCAGAGGAAUGUGAAAGUUUCCCAAUAUAUCGUGUAUGGAAUUUUUAAACUUUUCAAAGAAAACAAGGGUGAUCAACAUACAAAAGCCUCCCGUGGAUAGAAAAUUAAUCAAACGAAAAUUCGAUUGUUCUCUAGCAGUUUGACUUUGUUGCCAAGGAAAUUAAGAGUGAUAAGAAGGCGAGGGAGUGACUUUGAGUGGUGGCAAUUAGACAGCCAAGCAACUACACUCAAAGUUGCAGGUCGAAUAGGCAGUAGGAAGAAACAAAGAAGAAGAAGAAGAAGAAGAAGAAAAGCUUCGUUUUCCCCUAGUGUGGAACAUGGAGGAUUCCUCCUCUUUUCAAAGCCCUCAUCAAACUCGGUGCUAUGUCUAGAACGCUAAGAGUAGGUGGUUUGGUUUUGGUUAGGCCAAAAGUAAAGUUUCCUCUCAUUUUUUAUGGCCUUUUUUCUGAUGUAUAUUGCAUAUGUUGUUUGUUUUUUUUAUCUCUUAAUUGUUUCACUGUUUUACGUUUGCAAGUCUCUCUUUUCUUUUCUUUGGAAUGCAAUGUGGUAACUAGGUCUUGCUACAACCGGUGGGCUAACCUUUCUAUGGUUGUACACUUAGUUUUUAAGUUUGACUACUCCCUUCAAAGUGACAACAAGUUUUGUUAAUGCCCACCAUUUUCUAAAGGGAUUUAGUCUAUUGUGGCUAAACAAGAGCCUCCUAACUCAUGUUUGACAAGACAACAAAUUUGUUUAAAAUCAUCUCAAUUUCUAAAGAGUACCUCCUAUCCUUUUUUAACUCUAUCUAGGUUAGGUUUGGACAUUUGGACUAAGUGCAUCAUAGGUAAGUCAGGCAAAGCAACAAAGGAAGACAAAGCUAGAAAAGUAUCCAUACUUAUUUAUUAUAUACAUGCAAUCAAGCAUUCACAACACACAUACCAUUUUCUCAAUCAUUGCAUUCACAUCUCAGUAAGAUGUGGCUAAAAAGGGGCUUAAACCAAAAAAGACGGCAAGCUUAUUCUCAAAUUUCAGCACAUAUAAUCAUCAACAUUCAGAAUUUUACAUCACAAACCUAAGCUUAGUGGUCAAGGGUUGCCAGUCAUGUUUUGUUUAGGGUUUAGGGUUUAGGGUUCUUGUUUUGUUUUUAUCGACUGUUAUGUUGGGUGAAGAACUCUAAGAACUUGCCGGCUUUGCUUUCUACUUGACCUAACAAUCGUAUUUUGCUUUCAAACAAUCUUAUACAAAUGUGUAUGGCCACAAGAGGGAUUUAAAAUUAAUAUAAAAAAGGCAGUAGAAUAUGGCAAAAAAGGGGGAUUAAAAUUGAGAUAAAAAAGACAACCACACAUAUUAUUAUGUACAUAAUUCACAAUAUUCAGAAAAUGAACCAAGUGUUCUACUCAUUUCUAAGCUAUCAAUAUAUGCAUUUUCAACAUAUGUAACAUAUUCAAAUAACAAAUACAAUCACAAAUCCGAGCUCCAUUCUCAUGGGUUAGGCAUACAUGCAUUUUUAUGCUAAAAAGCGAAGUAGACAUGGUACUUAUUCUAAGCAUAGAGCAUUGCAAAAGUUUCUAAAUUUUGACAUUUUUAGGCGAAAUUUGCAAAAUGAAAAUUUCCCAAAGGACAUGGAAUGUGCAAGGCUACAACCUAACCCCACUUAAAAAUUUGCAUUGUCCUCAAAGCAUUUUAAGCAAGAUUCUACGGAUGGAAAAAAAAAAAGGAGAACAGAAGACCUCCCCUUGUAACCUAGUUUCUUCAUGGAAGCUUGCUUGCAAAGAUCCCAAGUUUGGUUAUAUUUCAUUUUCCUUUAUUCCUACAAAAAGAAAACAAUAAUUUCGCAUCGAAUUUUAUUAAAGAGGUUAAACUAAAAAUUUUAGAAAAAUGUGUAGAAUUGUUUAAGCUCGGUUGCAUUUUCUAAGUAUCACUUGAAUUAUUAAAAUGACCUAACAAAUAUUCAAUACAAGUUCGUAACUCAUAACCUACCAAAAAGUUCAAAAAGAUUGUUGUGGGUGUUCCACCAAACCUUUUGUAAAUUUCAUACAUCAAUAAAAUUACUUCUUAUAGGGGUGGGGGGGAAGAAACUAUGUUUUAGAGACAGAUGGCUCUAAAGCACACAAACACUCUCCAUCUCACUCUCUAUCUGCCUUGUAUCCAAUUUAAUCCAGCAUUCAUUUGGGGUAUUGUAGGUUCAUAUUAAAAAAUAGUCAUUCAUGUUGUGAUGCAAAGACCCUUUUAUGUAUCUAAAACUAAAAUCACGAAAAUCAGCGUGGACAUGCAGCACAACAAACUGAAUUUCCAUGGGAAGCCUUUGCUAACAAGAUGGUAGACAAUAAUUACUCAAACAAGAGAGAAGGACUAUAAUUAAUUAACAGAAGUACAAAUCAAUAUAGGUGCACAACCACCAAGCACCCAACAAAAGGAACACUAAACUUCAAUAACAAAAGAAAUGUAGUAUCAGGACUAUCCUUACCUUUGUUAUCGAAGAAGAUACCUUGGCUCUAAUAAGCCCGAUGCUCUGCCUUACAACGUUCCAUUACCUCAGUAUUGCAGUGUUUCUUCAAAGUUUGGGAAUCUACCUAAAACAUAAACAUAUAUUACAACUUGAAAACCUCCAUGUCAGAAACUUCACUUUAAUUAUCAAACCGAAGAUGCUAUGCAAGAAUUAGUUAUCAGAAAUACAACAUAAAUAGUAAUGAUAUUCUUUGGGGAGGGUAUAAAAGCAUCUUUCACCUUAGAAAUAAGCUUAGCAGUUAGCACUAACCUUUGUAUAAGAAGUUAACACCGUUUGAUUACUUCAUAAACUUCAGCUAUGAAAUCUGGUAAAGAGAAAGACCUAAUCCAUAAUGUUAAAGAGGAAAAGACCAAGUCAAAUUCCUUUAUUCAAACAGGUUAGUAUCACAGCUCCAAAGCAAAAAACUUACGGACCUCUACGACGAAUUUCCUUAAAUGAUGUAGCAGCAUCUGGUUCUUGAAACACAAUUUCAUUUAUGCUGUGAAAAAUAAGAUCGAUAAAUAAAACUUUUGGCUUUAAUUAGCCACAUAAACAUAAAGUUCUGACAGUAAAACAAAAGCUAAUAGAUAAUUAACUAUACAGUUUGUAGGCAAAAUACCAAAUAGCCCAUAAUCAAGAUCACAACUGAAGGAAACAAUAAUGUGUAGUUUAUCAUUUCCAACCAAAUAAUUUAAUAAUAAAUAAGGUCAAAUGGCUAAAUAAUAUGGCCUUUCACAUAAAUAUUUACUCCUGAAUUUUUUGAAGGAUAAUGUUAUCGCUUCUCUCCCACGUUUCACGAAGGCCCUCAGCCAUCUGCCAAUUCCAAUAUAAAAAAAUUAUUUUACAUAUUAUAUUUUUUUUACAUAUUCCUAUUGAAGAAUCUCAUUUGAGCAUUUUGUGGUCAAUUUGACUUGAAAGAAACGACAUAACUUUCAAUAAGAAAGAAGCAAGAUGCCCAGUUGUUUUUAACUGCUAUUUUUCUCUUUUUUUUUUUUUUUUUUUUUUUGCUUUAACUUGCUGUAAAUUGGAGAUGUUUUCCAUAACUACUUCGGCUUAUGUAAUUUACCUUCUCCCUAAAUGCAACCAUAAAUCAAACAAACUAGAUGAAUAAAUUUACACCACAGAAAUCCAUCCUAUGAAGACUACAUCGGAGAAAGAUGGGAUAAGGAUAAAGCAUAGGAAGAACAAAUACCCCAUGGGAAGUAAACUGAUAAAAAAUACUUUGUCUUGAGAGUAAUAUAUCCCGGACCAAUUUUCUGCUCUGCCAGCCAUUAAGAUUUACCCACUGCAACUCUGCACACAAAUAUUUUCUUAUAAACAAUAAUUAACACAAUCUAAUUGGUAUCUUAUGGAUAUCAAAGACAACAUGGAUCCAUAUUUUCCUGAAUGAAGUAAGAAUUUAACACAUGAUUCAAGUUUAGAGGAAUGUUGUGAUGUUAAAAGAAAGUAAAGUUAUUACUACAAGACCUUAAGUAAAAAAAAUAAAAGUAUCUCCAUGAAACCACAAAUAUUCGAUUUAAAUGUAGUUAUAUAGGUGAGGUAAAGCUACUUCAAUAUCUUUAAACUAUAAUGCUAUUGUAAAUAACCGACAAAAAGUUGAAUACAAUAAAUUAAUAAUCAAAGAAAAAUUUUGGAUUUUGUGGUCAAAUUCUACCUUUUAGAACCCUAAAAUUGGAAGGAUUUCAAAUUAGUCUACGAACAAAGAAUUUGGAAGCAUUUGUGAUCCACUAAGGAGCUCUCCCAGGGCAUCCUUGGGUACUUAUCGAGUAGAGACUGGAAGUAGUUGUGAUCAUCGUCCAUAGUAGUCAUCCAAGCCAGCAAGGGAAAGACCACGACGCGCAGUGGAAUAGGAAAAGGAGCGUCGAGCCCAACUUUCGUGUCACCAGCAAUCCUUUUUCCUUUAUUGGUAGACCGAAAAAGGCUUUGUCAAGCAGGCAGGCAUGAUUGUCACGUCGAUCGAUAGUUGAGAAAUCUGGCGUUGUUAGGGCUAGGAGAAGAAGAUGGUCGUGAAUCGGUGAUUUUGAGGAAGACGAAGAAGAGUACAAGAAGUUUUUCAUUAGCCAUCAAUUCAGGAAAUAAAUGAAGCAUCAAGCUUGUCUAAUAAACUUGACAGGCUAGAGGAGGACUUAAACAAGUAAAAGGACAAAAUGAAGCAAGCUCAAGCAACAAAUUUUUUGUUAAGUAAACAUAAAUAUUAACUAGAGGCUUAAAUAAAAUAUUUCACCACCAUCACCACCAAAACAACCACAACAAAAACAAAAAGCCCAGAUAUAUUGCCAUUGACAACAAAAACAGAGCAAUAUAACCACAAUAAACACAGCUGUCAUAACCGAUGCUGCAUACAGUAAAAAGGCUGCAAAAUAAAAGUCAAAGUUAUUACCAAUAUGUUGUUAAAUCAAAUGACUUGCUAAAACCUGAGAACCAUAUAUGGGGUACAAAAUUAUAGAUUAUGAAUGAAAAAUUUUAAACAUAUCAUUCACAGAGAACCAAGUAACUGAUUCCAUAAAUUUUCCAUUUCUCAAUCAGUGCUGGAACUUUCCUAUAACAAGAUGACUCCCUGAGUUGUAGUCUUCACCACCCCAGAAGAAAUACCUAAACAGUUUCUCUAUACUUUUAAUCAUCCUGUAAGGAGCUUUGAUGAGGGAAAGGAAAUGCAAAGGCAACCCAUUGAGCAACGGAGCAAUCAAUGAUUACCAGCCACCUUUGGAAAGAAACAAAUUCUUCCAUUUAGCAAUCUUACUUCUAAUUUUGUCAACAUCCCAGAAAGCCAGAAACCAAUGCUUACCACCCAAAGGAAAGCCUAGCGAGUUAAGGGUGAGAGGUUCCAUCUUACAACCCAACUCAACCGCAAGCCUAGGACCUCCUAUCUUAUAUCAAUAUAGUAGAAGAGAAAAAAAAAAGAAUUAAUACGUGAGAAGCACGUGUGAGUUAGUUAGUAGGAGGGAAGGAGAGACUAGUAUAAAUAGAUGAAAUAGAAAGGUGGGAAAGUUAGUUAGAGAUUCAAGUAAAGAGUACCUUUUUGUUCCCUUGAAAGAUAGGUUGCAGAAGGUAUGAGUGUUAGCUUGUAUUUGGGAAUUCAUUCCCUUGCUACUAUCAAUAAAAUUCCUACGUUAAUACCAAUUGGAGUUCCAUCAAACACCUUAUGCUCCUUCAUAUUAAUCCAAAUUAGGAAGAAAUUCGCCAUAUUCAAAUUAAAGAAUGAACAUCCCCUGGACAAAAAAAAAAAAAAGUGUCAUCAGCAUACUGAAGAUGAAGGAUAGCCACCUUUUUUCUACUGAUUUCCCAACCUUCAAGAGCUUAUUUCUCCAUAUAGAAGUAAACUAAUCUGUUGAAAGCAUCACCACGGAGGGUAAAAAGGAUGGGGACAGGGGGUCUCCUUGUCUUAGAUCCCUUUGACUCAUGUCACCCAUAUAUUGUGAGCUUUUGCAUUUAAGAUGCAGACGGCUAAAGAGAUGAAGUAAACAAUAUUUUACUACCAUGUAGAGACAGCAAGUAAGACUCUAUCGUUUAAUAGGGAAGUUCCAAUGCUUCUUAUUACCCUGGUGAAGAAAAAAAAAGGAGUUGUCAACAGUUCUCUGCUUUUUCACAGACUGCAAACACUAGAAUGCAGGUAAUCACGAGGUUUCACGUCUCAACUACUACUGUUUGACUGUUGUAUCAAUAGUACCGAGAGCCCAAUUUCAAACAAAAAAUUUAACCUUUUCAAGAACUUUGAAACUCCAAAUUGCUUCAUCCAACUAACAAAACUGAAGUAAGCCCCAACUAACGAAAAAAGAAAGGAUAUAUACAAGUUGUGAAAGGGCUUAAAAGGACAGAAGCUUAUUCUCAAAUUUCAGUACAUAUACUCAUCAAAAUUCAAAAUCUCACGUCACAAACCCGAGCUUAGUGCUCAAGGGUUGAUAGUCAUGCCUUUUAUGCAAGAUUUAAGAAGCUAUAAUGCUCAUUGUUGUAAUGAAAAACUUCUGAAAAUUUUUGAAAUUUGGGCAAAAUUUGAAAUCCCUCAAGUUUAGACAAAACGAGCGAGCUAUUAUCCACCCUCCGCUUAAAAAAUUGCUUCGUCCUCAAAGCUUUUGAAAAUCAAAGUAAAGGGAGAAAAAUAAGUGGGGGGGGGGGGGAACGGUGGACUCCCCUAGAAGGAUCAACAUCCUUGACUUUGGUUUAAAGCUUGCAUGGAUAAGCCUCUUCAUUCCUUUUUCAUUGAUUAUUCAUCCUUGUUCUUCAAAGGAAAAUCUCUCAAUUUUCUUCAAAGGAAGGUUCACGUUUUCUCCUACAAAGGGUGUGUUUCUAAUUUUCAUAACUUUAUGACUUAAUAUAGCAGUGUUGUAUAAUAUACAAAUCCAUAAUAAAAUAAACACCAUUUACAGCAGAGCCAAGAAAAAUGAAGAUUGUAUAUAAUGUACUGCAAUAAAAUUAAAAUACUAAAGAAUGUGUUAGGAUGUGAGCGUAAGCAAAAAGUAAAAUCAAUGGCUAAAGAAGAGAAAAAUUGAAUGACUUCAACAAAAAAUGUAACCUGUAAGUUGCUAAUUCUUUUUCUUUUUCACGCAGAAGAUCAUCCUUGACCCAAGCCUGUGAAGAAAUUAUAGAAUAAAAGGGUUCGUGAAGAAAAAAACAAAUAUUUAAAAACAUUCUUAUGCAAGCAAAUCAAGCAUGAGGAAAAAACCAACAGACCGCUUCGUUGUCUAAUGUAAUUGAUUGCAAUUCUCUAUCUUUAUCUUCUAUUCUCCUUUCCAGUUCAUGAAUAGGUGGUCUCUUUCACAUAGUUGUUCCUGUACAGCCACAAACUUGAAUUUGAUUCUUCACACUAUUCCUCCUCUUCAAGAACAAAAAAACAUGAAGGAAUUGGGAUUAGAAAAAGUGCAUACUUGAAACAUUUGAAGGCCCACCAGGCAGGCACAUAAGCACUAGCUGGUAACCAAAGAAACAAAAAACAGAGAGAGAGAGAGAGAGAGAUCAGUUUCAAAUUCAAACAAAAUAAUGGUUCACAUUCACACAAGUAAUGUGAUAGACCACCAAUUAUUUUACAAUAUAGUAGGAGGGAAAAGGGAGCAGUUGCACGUGAACAAGAGAAGGGAAAUAGAGAGAAGUGGAAAAAGAAGUGGAAACCACCUUGGUGGGGACCAUAGUUAGUUACAUGGGAGAGAGUUAAAAGGGAAAGAAUGGAGGGAAGAGAGGGGUGGUUAGUCUGUUUCUGGAAGUGGAGGGCUGUAAUUUCCUAGAGAGCAGGGAAUGCAGAAAGUGUUCAGUUUCUGUAGUCUGGAGCAAGUUAUAUCCAUUAUCGUGAAGUACUUUACUGUUUUGAUGUUUUAUGUUGAACAUGGUUUAUCCUUGUAUUAGUUCUUGUGUUGUACUUUGUUUUCGAGACUGUGUUAGAACCUGUUUUCUGUAAAAGUUUGGCUGAUUAAUAAAUUAGUAGAACACACUAUUUGGUGUUCUAUCAUUUUGGCAUCAAAGAAAUCGAAUAUGUGAAGUUCUAUAUCAUGGCUCAAAAGCAAAUUGAGGAAAAGUUGGAAAUGGUAGAUCAAGAAAUAUCCGGCAUUCGAGCAGAAUUAAAUGAUCUGCCAACAAUCAAGGAAAACAUUCAUCUUUGGCGAAGAGUAUGCGAGGUUAGGAGUACAAGCUGAGAAGCUACAACAUUAACUAGAAACACUGUUGAAAUAUAUUGAAGGAAUGAUCAAAGGGAAGACAACGAUGGAAAAAGUACUAGAAGGAUCAUCAAGUAAAGUUGAUAGCAUGGUUGAUUUUCAACGAUGAUGGGAGGAAAAUUUGAGGAAAAACAUACCAAGUUGGAGGGUGAAGACGCUGCACGACCGAAGCAAAUUUUAAAAAAUUGAAACGCCAGUUUUUGUGGGAAAUGAUCCUGAUUCUUGGUUGUUUAGGGCUGAGAGAUACUUUCAGAUACACAAAUGGAGUGAGUCAGAGAAAAUGACUGUGUCCAUUAUUAGUUUUGAUGGAGCAGCUUUGGAUUGGUAUAGAUCUCAUGAAGAUCGUGAACCGUUUGUUAAUUGGGACGAUUUAAAGAAGAGACUUAUUGUCUGAUUUCGAUCGGGUCGUGAGGGAUCAAUUCUGGGAAGAUUUUUAAAGAUCAAGCAAGAAACUACAGUGGAAGAAUAUCAAAAUUUAUUUGAUAAAUCAGUAGCACCAUUGCCUAUUCUACAAAAGGCUGUCUUAGAAGAAACAUAUAUGAAUGGUUUGAAACCAUGGAUUAAGGCAGAUAUGGAAUGUUGGGAACCUAUGGGGCUUGCUCAAAUGAUGAAGUUGGCCCAAAAGAUUGAGGACCGAGAAGUGAUAAGGGGAGAAUCAAGUUUCAAACAUGCAGCGGAUGGAAAACUUCAGGUUUCUUCUUUUAAACCAAAAAUUCCUGUGAUUUCUAAUGGUAAUAAGUCAGGAGGGAUUGUUCCAAUGCGGACGAUUACACUUCGAGGAGUGGCUGGUGAACCUAAUCGACGAGAAGGACCACUAAAACGACUUUCUGAUGUUGAAUUUCAGGCUAGACAUGAGAAAGGUCUCUGUUUUCGUUGUGAGGAAAGAUUUUUUGUGGGCCAUAACAUAAGUGUAAAGUGAAAGAUCAUAAGGAACUUAGAGUUUUAGUUGUUGGGGAAAAUGGGGAAGAACUAGAAGUAGUUGAAGAAGAGGAUUCAAAAACUGAAAUACAGGAGACUAAAGUUGUUAAACAAGAAGAACUCGUGAUCGAAUUAUCAAUAAAUUUGGUUGUGAGAUUAACAAACCCCGGAACUAUGAAAAUUAAAGGUAUGAUUCGAGAAAGGUCAGUAGUAGUAUUGAUAGAUUGCGACGCGACCCAUAAUUUUAUAUCUGAAAAUUUAGUAACUCAAUUGUUGUUGUCAUUGGAAGAAACUUCUCAUUAUGGGGUUAUUUUGGGGUCUGAAUCUGCUGUAAAAGGGAAGGGAAUUUGUAAACAAGUGGAACUGCUAUUGGUGAAUGGAAGGUUGUAGAUAAUUUUCUGCCAUUGGAAUUUGGGGGGGGGGGGGGGAGUGGAUGUCAUUCUUGGUAUGCAAUGGCUACAUACAUUAGGAGUAACCGAAGUAGAUUGGCGAAAACUUACUUUGACAUUCAUACAAAAUGGGAAGAAGGUUGUAUUAAGGGGAGAUUCGAGUCUUACGAAGGCUAGGGUGAGUUUGAAGCACAUGACGAAGACAAGGACAAAACUUGAUUAGGAGUAACCGAAGGACAGAACUUGAGUAUGUAGUCAUUCUUGGUAUGCAAUGGCUACAUACAUUAGGAGUAACCGAAGUAGAUUGGCGAAAACUUACUUUGACAUUCAUACAAAAUGGGAAGAAGGUUGUAUUAAGGGGAGAUUCGAGUCUUACGAAGGCUAGGGUGAGUUUGAAGCACAUGAUGAAGACAAGGACAGAACUUGAUUAGUAGUAACCGAAGGACAGAACUUGAGUAUGUAGUCAUUCUUGGUAUGCAAUGGCUACGUACAUUAGGAGUAACCGAAGUAGAUUGGCGAAAACUUACUUUGACAUUCAUACAAAAUGGGAAGAAGGUUGUAUUAAGGGGAGAUUCGAGUCUUACGAAGGCUAGGGUGAGUUUGAAGCACAUGAUGAAGACAAGGACAUAACUUGAUUAGGGAUUUCUGAUUGAGUGUAGAUCUUUGGAAGGUGGAAUGGCAUUUGCAGCGUUGUAUGGGGUUGAUGAAGUGCCUACCAUUCAUGAGUCUAUUCUAGCCGUGUUAGCUAAGUAUGAAGAUGUUUUUGAUUGGCUUGGAGAGUUGCCACCACAAUGUACCAUUGAAGAUCAUAUACAUCUUAAAAAGGGGACUAAUCCAGUCAAUGUUCGGCCUUAUAGAUAUGCAUACCAGCAAAAGGAUGAGACGGAAAGAUUGGUUGAUGAAAUGAUGGCAUCUGGCAUAAAAACCUAGUACUAGUCCAUAUUUGAUCCCGUUCUUGUUGGUGAAAAAAAUGGUAGUUGACGGUUUUGUGUAGAUUACCGUGCGUUGAAUAGUGUGACCGUUCGAGACAAGUUUCCUAUUCCAGUAGUAGAGGAAUUGUUUGAUGACUUAAUGGGGCUAAUUAUUUUUGAAGAUUGAUCUCAAGGCGGGAUAUCAUCAAAUUAGAAUGUGUAAAAAGGAUGUGGAGAAAACAGCUUUUAGAACUCACGAGGGGCAUUAUGAGUUUCUUGUCAUGCCUUUUAGGCUCACCAAUGCACCAUCAACAUUUCAAGCUUUGAUGAAUAGUAUCUUUAAACCUUACCUACGCAGGUUUGUCUUAGUCUUUUUUGAUGAUAUUUUAAUUUACAGCAGAAGUUUGGAUGAAAAUCUUCAACAUUUAGAAUGGGUGUUAGAGGUGCUGCGAGAGAAUAAAUUAUAUGCUAAUAUGCACAAGUGUGGGUUUGCCAAAAUGAAAGUGGAGUAUCUUGGCCAUAUAAUUUCGGGCAAGGGUGUAGAGGGUGAUCCCGAGAAAAUUAGAUCUAUCAAAGAAUGGCCCGUGCCCACUAAUGUCCGUGAAGUUCGUGGAUUUCUUGGGUUGACAGGAUAUUAUCGAAGAUUUGUAAUGAAUUAUGGAAGUGUGGCUGCUCCUUUGACUCAAUUAUUGAAGAAAGGAGCUUAUGAAUGGACUGUUGCAGCUGCUGAAACUUUUGAGAAUUUAAAGAUGGCUAUGAUGACUCUCCCAAUCUUAGCACUGCCAGAUUUUUCCUUACCAUUUGAAAUAGAGACCGAUGCUUCUGGAUACGGGGUAGAUGCUGUCUUAAUUCAAAAUCAUCGGCCAAUUGCUUAUUUUAGCCUGACAUUAGCUAUGAGGGGUCGUGCUAAACCAGUUUAUGAACGGGAAUUUAUGGCUGUAGUUUUGGCUGUGCAAUGUUGUAGACCUUAUCUUUUGGGCAGGAGGUUUGUAGUGAAAAUUGAUCAACGAUCAUUGAAACUUUUAUUGGAACAAAGGGUUAUCCAACCUCGACAUCAGAGGUGGAUUGCUAGGCUUCUUGGCUACAAUUUUGAUGUCGUGUAUAAACCGGGACUAGAAAACAAAGCAGCAGAUGCCUUGUCUCGUGUUCCCCAACUUAAUCAACUUACUGUUGAGAUCAGUUAAAUUGGCAGUCCCCAACACUGAAGUUGACCCUAAAUUAGUCCAAGAAAUUAAUGGGAUGGAUCUGAAUGUCUUGUUCAAUGAUGAAGAUAUUCUCCCUAUUAAAAUUCCCCUGGAUUUGCCUAAUGAUUUAGUGUCUAUAGUCGGUGAUUGUGGAAUCAUUAUGGCUUAAAUUAGAUGUGCAACUGCCUUUUCCUCCUCCCAGUCAUUAUGAAGGUUGUCUCCUGGAGCACUAGGAGUUUGAACGACUCCUCUAAACGUGAAGCACUUAAAAAAUUCAUCAACUAUUGUAGUCCUAAUGUAGUCAUGAUUCAAGAAUCUAAGAAGGAUACCUUGAACUCAAUGCUAAGUUUGACUGCUCCCUUCGGAGUGACAAGUCUCGUUUUUCCCCUAGUGUGGAACGGGGAGGAUUCCUCCUAUUUUCAAAGCCCUCAUCAAACUCAAUGCUAUGUCUAGAACGCUAAGAGUAGGUGGUCUGCUUUUGGUUAGGCCAAAAGUGAAGUUUCCCUUCAUUUUUUUAUGGGAUUUUUCUGAUGUAUAAUGCAUAUGUUCUUUGUUUUUUUUAGCUCUUAAUUGUCUCGCUGUCUUAAGUUUUACAUUUGCAAAUCUCUCUUUUCUUUCUUUGGUACGCACACAAUAACCGAUGGGGUAACCUUUCUAUGGUUCUACACUUAGUUUCUAAGUUUGACUGCUCCCUUCGAAGUGACAACAAGAUUUGUUAAUGCCCACCCUUUCUAAAGGGAUUUAGUUCAUUGUGGCUAGAGAAGAGGCUCCAAACUCAUGUUUGACAAGACAAAUUUGUUAAAACCAUCUCAAUUUCUAAAGAGUACCUCCUAUCCUUUUUUAACUCUAUCUAGGCUAGGUUUGGACUAAGCGCAUCAUAGGUAAGUCAUGGCAAAGAAACAAAGGAAGACAAAGCUAGAAAAGUAUCCAUGCACUUAUUUAUUAUAUGCAUGCAAUCAAGCAUUCACAACACACAUACCAUUUUCUCAAUCAUGCAUUCACAUCUCCAUAAGAUAUCGCUAAAAAUGGGCUUAAACCAAAAAACACUGGCAGCUUAUUCUCAAAUUUCAGCACAUAUACUCAUCAACAUUCAGAAUUUUACAUCACAAACCCAAGCUCAGUGAUCAAGGGUUGCUAGUCAUGCUUUUUAUGCAAGAUCUAAGUAAUCUAAGAAGGUAUAGUGCUCAUUAUUGUAAGGAAAUUUUUUUUUAGAAAUUUUGAAGGGCAAAAUUUGAACCUCCAAGUUUAGACUAAACAUGCAAGCAAUUGCCCACCCCCACUUAAAAAAUUGCAAACUUUUGAAAAUCAAAAUAAAGGGAGAAAAAUAAGGGAGAACUUUGGACUCCCCUGGAAGGAUCGACAUCCUUGGCUUUGGUUUGAAGCUUGCAUGGAUAAACCUCUUCAUUCCUUUUUCAUUGAUUAUUCAUCCUUGUUCCUGAAAAUCAAAGAAAGUUCUCUCAAUUUCAUUUAUUACUAAAAUUAGGAUAAUUAUAUUAACUGUAUUUUUAACACUUUUGGUAGUUUAUGUUUUGAGUGUAUUUUCAAUGGUAUUUUUAUAUAAAGUACAAAGUUUAUGGGUAUUCUGUAUAAUUUAGCCUUGAAAUUUCUCAGACAUGCAUCAAAUCAAAAUUUCAAAACCAUCGGUAUACUUAUGGAACCUCUUUAACAAAAAAAAAAAAAAAUCAAACCCAUGAAGUCUAACUAACCGAACACAAUUAGAUUUCUAGUAGCAGUAAUUUACCACAGAAACAUAAAUUAAUAGUUAGAAAAUAAUUGCAUGGCAUUUCUAUAAAUUUAUCACAUGAUCUUUCUUCUUCCUUUUUUUCUUUCCUUUUUUUGAUAGAACUCUAACUAAGUUAGUUAGGCUUCUACAUGUAGCAGUUAAUUAAAAUAGAGACAGAAACUAUAGAUUAACAAACAAUUGGAAGGCCUCUCGAUCAAUUUAAUACACAAUAAGUUCAUACUUGUGUCGUUUUGGAAGUAUGAAAAACGAAAAAUCGCUAUUUUCCCUAAACGAGAAACCUCUUCAUUCCUUUUUCGUUGAUUAUUCAUCCUUGUUCUUCAAACCUCAAGCCUUAAAAUUGAGGCAGUAGAGGAAAUUCUCUCAAUUUACUUCAAAGGAAGGAUCAUGUUCUCUCCUACAAAGGGUGUGUUUCUAAUUUUCAUAACUUUAUGACUUAAUAUGGCAAUGUUGUAUAAUGCAAAUCCAUAAUAGAAGAAACACCAUUUGCAGCACAACCAAGAAAAAUGAAGAUUGAAUAUAAUGUAAUGCAAUAAAAUUAAAAUACUAAAGAAUCUUGUGGUCCCUUCCUUUUCUUCUUUGUUUUUGAUAAAGUAACUGCAUUUAUCACACAAACAAUUAGAUAGAAGACUUAAAACACUAAUCUGCAUCGGACUAAGCUGAUAUUUUUCCUCUUUCUUUGUAAGUUAAAAACCACAUGAGUUUGACACUGAUUACUACCACCACAAGUCAUUUAACUUCUUCAACUGCCUCAUACUUUUCACACGAAACUGCGUCAUACAAAUUAACCCAUAAUAAAGCUACCCAAAUUCCAAACCCCAUCCGAUUGGUUUCUGAAAUCAGUAACUCUCAUGGAAGGAAAAACUUGGACAGACUGAUGCAUAAAUUGAGAAAUGAAAGUUUGAAAAAGAUUCUUACAUCUUUGUCUAUUAGAAAAAAAUCGAUUUCUUGCAGUAGAAUCGUUGUUCCCUGCCAUUCUCAAAACAGCCUGAAUAGCCAUGUUAAGAACACCGAGCCCUGCACUGAAGUUGAAAGAGGAGAAAAAACAGCAUGUUGAAACAAAUGAAGGUUAAACCAAAAGGAUUGAACUAUAGUUUCCAAAGUUUUCAUUUCUCUUAUAUUCACGUAAUAGUAAUAGUAAUAGUGAUAGUAAUAGUGAUAGUAAUAGUGAUAGUAAUAGUGAUAGUAAUAGUGAUCAAGUAAUAGUUAUAGUAAUAGUAAUUCUUCUUUCAAACAACCACUUUUGUUUCAACAAAGAGGACAAGGCUUAUGAUCCCUAAAGAGUUAGCAAUAUUACUAUUUGGAGAAAAUGUUAAAGUUAAACAGCUGACAAUGCCUUCCAACCCCUACCACUACUAUCUUUUGGUUAACAAAAUCACUCAAUGGCCGCCCUUGAGCUCUCACAUUUCCAAAUAGUUCAGCGAGAGCAACACCAGCAGUUCCCUUUAUGAAAUGAAAUAAACAAAAAUGAAUGUCCUUUUAAGUAAUUAUCAACUGCAUGAAUACAACAUGAACUACCCACUUGUAUGUCAUCGUUGAACAUGCAGAACCUCUUACGAUAACGUUGUAAUGUUUCAAAAGCCCAUUUCAUUUGAAAAUCCUCAAACUGGCAUCAUUCAAAAUCAAAUUGCGAGAUUACGAUACUGAUUACUGGCAGUGAACACAGUUAAAAAUUUGAUAUCUUAACCAAUAAACCUGAAAAUAGCUUUAGGCCAACAUGUAUGCACGACUUCCAUAAAUUCAUCAACAAUAGAUAGAUACUCUUCUCCCUCCAAUCUAGGUAUUCCUAUUCCCUGAACUCCAAGGUCACCAAGGCCAAGAAUACGACUUCCAUCUGUCAAGACAAUCACGUCAACCUGUAGUUGGAAGAAGAAAAUACAAUGAACUUCAAAUAUGGUGUUGCUGGAAAUUAAAAGGGAUUUUCAUUUUUAUUUUGCUCAAAAUCAAUGCUCUUGAGCUUUUAAUGUCCAGAGGAAUGUGAAAGUUUCCCAAUAUAUCGUGUAUGGAAUUUUAAACUUUUCAAAGAAAACAAGGGUGAUCAACAUACAAAAGCCUCUUGUGGAUAGAAAAUUAAUCAAACGAAAAUUCGAUUGUUCUGUAGCAGUUUGACUUUGUUGUCAAGGAAAUUAAGAGUGAUAAGAAGGCGAAGGAGUGACUUUAAGUGGUGGCAAUUAGACAGCCAAGCAACUACACUCAAAGUUGCAGGUCGAAUAGGCAGCAGGAAGAAACGAGAAGAAGAAGAAGAAGAAAAGUUUUCGAUCUAUCAAACGUGAUCAACAUACAAUAGAAAGUCAUUUAAAUUAUCCAAAUAUCUUUUGAAGUAAUUUUAACAAUUUCAAAAUAACUCUUAAUCAUGCUCUAAAUAUGGAAUGAAUUAUCUAUUCAACUACAAAUACAAAAGUUUUCCUAAAUCACUCUAACUAAUUAUACAAAUUCCACAACACAUAUAUCACAUGCUUCCCAAGAACCCACAAAAUUAUUCAAUGCGGCAUUUCAUCAAACAGCUGGUGGAUGGGGACAACAAAAACAAGUGUUUAACAAAAUUAUCUUAGAAACAAACACAUUAAUAUUACCUGAAGAUGGAACUCCAAUUGAACAGCCUUGAAAAAGUGAUGGAAAAACAAACAGAACAUAAAGAUUGUGGGACUCCUCAACUCCAAUAAAUCCUGCAAUGGAAAAAUGGGUUAGAAGAAGGUGGAAAAGCAUAGUAGAGGAUGAUGAUAAUGAAAAUGGGUAGUAAUGUUUUUCAGCAGCUAUCUUUUUCUUUUCUUUUUUUUUUUCAUGUAGUUGAUGGUUGUUCUUGAUUGUCUUUAUCUUUAUUUAUUUUUUCCUUUUUUGCUUUUGGGAAAAAACAGUUUGUUGAAUAAGAGGUGAUGAUGCUGGUGAGGGAAUUUAUUAAAGUAAUGAAUACUUUUUGGAGGACUUAAACAAGUAAAAGGACGAAAUGUAUAAUUAGUUAGAGGAGGACUUAAACAAGUAAAAGAACCAAAUGAAGCAAGCUCAAGCAACAAAUUUUCUGUUAAGUAAGCAUAAAUAUUAACUAGAGACUUAAAUAAAAUAUUUCACCACCACCACCGCAACAACAACAUAAAACCCAAAUAUAUCGCCAUUGACAACAGAAACAGAUCAAUAUAAGCACAAUAUAUUACAUGGAAAAUAUGGAGAUAAACGACAUGAAGGUUUCCCUUUCACUUACAAAGAGAAUCAUUAAGUAACUUCUCGUUGUUAGUACCAAUAUCUAGCAUUACUGGAAGAAUCUGUCAAUUAAACAAGAGUAAACUUAAUGAAAUUCAAAAAGUGGGGUUAAGAAAAGUUGCUAAAAAAAUGUCAACAUUAAAUGAUAUUAGUAUUCUUAGAUAAUCUACAAAUUUCAUGAAGAAAAGACUGCAGACUUGAGAGUUACCCCCACAAUCAGGAAUACUUGCUGGAACGGGAAAAAGAUAUCGGCAAAUUCUAAACACGGCACACUAAAACUCUCACUCUCCUGGUUCAUGCCUAAAAUCACAUGUACAUGUCAAUGCUGAUAGUGCCUCUUUCACUGAAACAAACCAAAUUUCAGUACCAACUAAGAUUCAGAAAAUAAGGUAUUUAAGAUGCAGAAAAUAAGGUAUUUAAGAUGCAGGAAAUAAGGUAUUUAAGAUGCAGGAAAUAAGGUAGUUAAGAUGCAGAAAAUAAGGAAACACCCCACAUCACUACAGUGCAUAACAAAUCUAUCACAUAAGCACAAAGAUAAAUACUGAGUGUAUUAGUUGAAACUUAGCAAAAACAAAAAGGACAUAAGCUUAUUCUCAAAAUUCAGAAUCUCAUGUCACAAACCCGAGCUUUGCUCAAGGGUUGACAGUCAUGCCUUUUAUGCAAGAUCUAAGAAGUUAUGAUGCUCGUUAUUGUAAUGAAAAACUUUUGAAAAAUUUUAAAAUUUGGGCAAAAUUUGAAAUCCCCCAAGUUUAGACUAAACAAGCGAGCUAUUAUCCACCCUUCGCUUAAAAAAUUUCUUGGAAGUAGCCCAACAUGAGAAGAUAAAACAAUCUGAAUGCAGACGAUCCUAUAAACAAUUAAAAAAAUAGCCACAACUGAUUGAAAUCAAGUUGGAUAAACAACCAUUGGAUGAAGGGAGGGCGUUGAGCUUGUCUAAGAAAAACAUACUCUUUGAGGGUUUAUGCCAGCAACAGCAACAUACAUAUCCAGCUUUCCUGUAGAUAUUCCUAUUCCCUGAACUCCAAGGUCACCGAGGCCAAGAAUACGACUUCCAUCUGUCAAGACAAUCAUGUCAACCUGUAGUUGGAAGAAGAAAAUACAAUGAACUUUAAAAAAUAUAUAUAUCUAUAAAGCAUAACAAUUAUCCCAUUGCUGAAAGAAAUAAUAUUUGUUAUGCUAUGUAUAUAAUUCACAAAUUAAUAGACCAUCAUCUCAAUGUACAAAUUGUGUGAAGCUAAGGUCUCUUAAACAACUUAAAGAGGAUUGAAGAAGAGUACCAGAAGUUUUUCAUUAGCCAUCAAUCCAGGAAAUAAAUGAAGCAUCAAACUUGUCUAAUAAACUGAUCUGGGUCGUCAAUAUGUAACACAAAUUACACAAAAAUCUAGGGAGGGGAUAUGAUUUAGAUACGUAAAAUACUUAGAGGUUUGAGAGAGAAUCAAAAUAACUUAUUGCAUUCACUAAAGAAAUACAUAUACAAGAUGUUCUUGUAAACUUAAUCCUCAAUUUAUCCAAGACCCAAUUAGAAUGGUUAAUCGAUUCAAUAGAUGUUCUUGUAAAAGAACCAAACUGGAAGUUUUCCAACAAAUAUGCGAGUGAUGAAACCAUAACAACAUAACUAUCCAAAAGUGAAGUUUCUACUCAUUUUUUAUGCGUUUUUUUCUGAUCUAUAUUGCAUAUAUAUAUAUAUAUAUUUUAGUUCCUAAUUGUCUCAUUGUUUUACAUUUUACAUUUGCAAGUCUCUCUUUUCUUUCUUUGGUACGUACAAUGUGGUAACUAGGUCUUCCUAGAUCCGGUGGGGUAACCUAUCUAUGGUUCUAGACUUAGUUUCUAAGUUUGACUUCUCCCUUCGGAGUGACAACAAGCCUCGUUUUCUCCUACUACUGUGGAUCGAGGAGGAUUCCUCCUCUUUUCAAAGUCCUCAAUCAAACUUGACGUUAUGUUUAAAACACUAAAAAUAGAUGGUCUAGUUUUGGUUAGGCCAAAAGCGAUGUUUUCCCCCAAAAGCUCUAAUAGCUAGGGAACUCAACAGGUUCUACUUGACCUAACCGACUUGACUCUAUAUUUUUUAUGAGCUUUUUUUAAUGCAUAUUGCAUAUGUUUUUUUUUUAUAAUUGUUGAUUGUCUCACUUUUUUAUGGUCUGCAUUUACGAGCCUCUUUUCUUUCUUUGUUAUGAACUGCGGUAACUAGGCGUUGCUAGAACCAAUGGGGUAACAUUUCUAUGGUUCUACAAUUAGUUUCUAAGUGUGAUUGCUCACCUCUAAUUUUCAAAACACUUAAUAUCUAAGCACAUACAAUGUUCACCUAGAAAAAAAUGAAAAUUGUUGUAGUUAAGAUCAAAACUAAAUAGUUAUGAAAUAAGACAUAAGAGAUUUGAUUUUAACAACCUUCCCGUUGUACUUGGGAUCCACUCUGGCUUUGUGCUGGAAAAUUGGUUUGGAGCUGAUUGUAAGCUUUCAGUUGCUCUUCUGUAACCUUUAGAUACUCUUCAAAGCUAUAAGCUUUGCUUCCUAACGAAGAAUCUUCUACUAUUACAGUACAUAAAAAAAUUAUAUUUCAUAAACCCUGUAUCAUAAUUGAGGCUGAUAGAAUGAUUAUUCUAUAACCCUACCGAUAGUUUCAUUCUUAACAUUCAUAGACACGAUGUAUGGUAGCUAUCCAAUUCUAUUUCAUGUUCUCGAGAAUGGCUCGGUUUAACAAUCAUGUUAAUUUUUUUUUCUAUUUUAAAAUAAUAACGAUGCUUACUAAUCUUUUUUUUUCCAUUUGGCAUUCUACUUUUUCUACUCAACUUUCUUUCCCUAGUGAUAACAAAUAAUACGAGUGAUAAAAAACUUAAUCACUCACUUGGUUCAGCCACCGAAAGCCCUUCUACUUUAGAAAUAGAAUAUGGGUUUGAGUAGGUAGAUUUACUUGCAUUGUAUGUGCUGUUCAUUGAACUCUCAAUUUCAUCGAGACCAAUUUCUCACUCAAACAUGGUCUUGCAUUCUCUAGAAACGUCCUACAAACAAAAAUGAAGAACAAAAAACUACAAUAAGGUCUAUGAAAAAGUUAUAAAGGAAAAUCUCAAAAACUGAUAUGUAAGUCAUAACAACCUUAAGUUCUCUAUCGUGGGUUAAAAUGCACGUAAGGUUUUUCCAAGACUCCGAGCAACCAGCAUGUAAAUAAGUUAAGUCAACUAAAUUUGCUAUAAAUUUACUCGUAUUAACAUUAUCAUUGUUAUAGACUUGACAACUUCAAAUUUAUCAAUAUAAAAUAUGCUUUAACAAAACGUACCUUGAGGUUCCUCCAACCUUAUUAAAAAAGCAAAUAAUCCAACAAUUUAACAAAUUUAUAGUGCAUAUUAUGUAUAUCAAUUGAUCACAACAAAAUAAGAUCGAACAAAUAUCCAUGAGUAAUAUUUAGCCACCAAAUGAAUAAUGAUGAAAACCUGAAAACAAAACCGAGAAAAAAAAGGAAACAAUUCAUCAACAAAACAAAUUUAGUGGACUAAAAAAUUGCUUACCUUAUUACACACUUCAAAAUAUUAAGAAAAGUGGAGGGAAAAAACCAACCAAUAAUCAACAAAUAAACUUCAACACAAAUAGCCAUAAAUUUUCUUCUUUAAAGGUAUCACAAAUAAGUCCAUCAGUAAUAACAAAAUAAAAAAGGGCAAUGUGCAAUUGAAUUCUGCAGUCGUAAAGCUAUGCUAAAGGCAGUAUGAAAUCAAACUUGAGCACUAACAAGAAAAUUUGCAAAACAAAAAUUACUAGACAUCAUUAACUAAAGUACCAGCACAACAAUGAAUGUGUAACCUCCGCAAGAGCAAACCCGAAUGGAGAAGAACAUGAAGAAAUAUAUAAAUAGAAAAAACAUAAAAGACAAACAUGAAACACAUGGAAAUAUACAAAGGGGAUAAAUAAAAGUACAAUUAUAAAGUGAUGAAGCACAAAUAUAGGUAUCAACAGAACCAGAAUACAAGUCUUACCCUAUCUCGACUGUCGAGGAGUGUUAACCAACCGUCGGAAGGUUGGUUUUAUUUUUUAGAAAAAAUUAAUGUUGUCUGAAUUGUUUUCCAAGCCACUAACCAGCCCCUCCUUAUCUAUGAUCGCGCGAUCAACUCCUCAACCUCUAAUUACAUUUAAAAGAGUGAUGCGAACAUUGUGUGAAAUCCCAAACCUUUGAUGGAUCCCACCAUCACUCUCUUUCUAUCCCCUUCAAAACCUCAUUAUUUUCAAGAGAGGCCUCAAAGCUUCUUCCAAUUAACAUAAAAGAAGAAUGAAAGAGAAGGAGAGAAAGGGAAAGUGGUUCAAAAGCUAUGGAAAAAAAAAAAAAGAAAAUGGUCUACUCAUUGGCACAUCUUACACAGAUGAUAAUGUUAGGGCAAGGCAAUGAGAGACAGAAUGCUUUUGGAGCCUUCUCCUCUACUUUCGAAGAUUUUAACAAACUAAAAUAUGCAAAUGUUACAAGAAAGAUCUUUGGAGAUUUGAAAUAAUCCAAAAUAAAGAAAAAGGAAAACCCCAAUAUGUACAAAUUUCAGAAUCUAAAACUUGAAAAGUGAUUGAAUGAUGAGAUAUGUUUGUACAAUCAAUUAUAGAGACAGUGAAAUAUUAAAAAAAAAUGAAACGUACCAAGAUAAAAAGAAUAGCAACUAGUAUUAUGACCUUUGUAUGUCUUCAAAAUACAAACAUCAAAAUGAAUCAAGAGAUCUACCACACAAAUAAUGGUAUCAACACAAAUAAAGCAAUUUUUUAGUAACAAUAUUUGAGUACAAUUAAACUAAGCAUGCUAUUGUCCUUGACAAAUUUACAUUCUUCUAAUCGAACAAAAUCUGACCUUUAAAUAGUGAUAGAAACUGAAGAUGAAAGCAAGUUUAGCUACAACUUCAGACCGUGAUAUAUAUGACGGAACCUAUAAAAAAAAGAAGAGUACCUAACUAUAUAUACACAGAGGAGAUCUGAUGCUUACUAGCACAUCAGAGGCUCAAUCGAUUUAUAUUUAAUUGAAAAACAAUCCCUAUAUUUUAAUGCAUACACAUUGAAUAGCCCCUGUUUCAAUCCAAUUUACAAAACUACCUCCAUAAAAUUACAUAAUGGGGGAAGUUCGACCGGAUGCACUGUGCUUUACCAGAACCACAUGAAAUUAUUGGAACAUAGUUCAUUCAAUUAACUUUCUAUUCAAUAAUUGAAACAAAUGGAAAGAGGUCAAUUGAAUAUUAAAUAAAGAUGGAAUUAAUUGGGAACUCACGGAGUAAUGCGAUUUGUUCGGGGGCUCACCACUGGAGUUGGAAGAGAGACAAGGAUUAGAAAGGAAAGGAAGAGGAGCGUCUGAUAAUCCAGCGGAUUCUUUGAUGAGUGGAGUACUAGUAGUAGUAGUGGAGGUUCCAAGGACAUUGAAGUCAAUCCGGUGAGAGUGAGGGAAUCCAGAAGGUUGAGGUUGAAGAGAGUAGAAAUUGCAACCAAAAUCGGUGACGAUGGUGGAAUCGAAAUUGCGAGGGAAGAAGAAAAGAGCAUCACAGGUCGAAGUAGAGGAGGAAUCAACACUGGAGAAAGGAGGAAGAUGAGGAGAACCUGCCAUUAAUGGAAGAGGGAGGAAGUGAGAGAGAAAGGAGAGGGAAUUAAUUAAUUAAAGAGAAUUAGGGUUUGAGAAGAGAAAGGGAAAAUGGAGUGUACGAACAAAGAAGAAGAAGAAGAAAUGGAAAGGACGCGCUAAGAGAAGAAGAUGGAGAUGGAUCGGUGAAAUGGGUAUGAUAGGGUUUCUUCCUUAAAGAAACGGAAAUUGAGAGAUAGGCCUUAGGGUUUUGAGAAGAGAAAGGAAAAAUGGAGUGUACGAAGAAAUGGAAAGGACGCACUAAGAGAAGAAGAUGGAGAUUGGAUCCCCGACUAAGAGAAGAAGAUGGAGAUUGGAUCCCCGACUAAGAGAAGAUGGAGAUGGAUCCGCGAAAUGGGUAUGAUAGGGUUUCUUCCUUACAGAAACGGAAAUUGAGAGAUAGGCCAAAGAAGACAAGAGAGCAAGAGAGAAGGGGGGAGGAGAGGGAGGAGAGGGAGACUUGGCCGUUAGAGAAGAGGAGAAAGAAAUUUGAAAUGAGAGAGACUGUACAUGUAGGGUUUUUAUUAGAUUUUUUUUUUGAAAUCUUGCUUAAUUGGAUUUAGAGAAUUUUGUGUAUUCGGUUCACCGAAUCUUAUUAGCUGUCCAUUGGUCCAUUGUUUUGUCAUUUUUUUUUUCAACAAACAAUCAUAUUUUUUUACAAUAUAGGACUAAAAAAGAUAACUAAUAUAUAUAUAUAUAUAUAUAUACACAUACAACAGUAUUUAGUUAAAUUACAAAAAAAAUCUUUUGAAUUUUGUAGUUUGUGUAAAAAAAUAACCUUAAACUUUGAAAAGUUAAAAACAAUUGUUUUCAACUUUUAAAAAUUAUUCAUAAAUACAUCUACAUACUUAGGAUGAAGGUAUUGGCAUGCUUCUCUAAAAAAUCUUUCCAAAAAGAUGUCGUGUGAUUUUUGAAAAGAAAAAUUACAAGCGGGGUCGUUUUUAAACAAAUUAGAUAUAUCAAGUUAUAUAUUCUUUUAGCAGAGUCUAUACUCUAUCUCUCUCUUUUUUUUUUUUUUUUUUUUUUUUUUUUUUUUUUUUUUUUGAGGUGAGGGAAUCAACCUUUCUUCUUUUUUUUAAUCCCUUCUACUUUUAGUUUAUUUCUUCAAUUUUUUUCCUUUUUUCACAUAUUAUCAAUCACAUCUUACAUUUUUCCUUUUUCUUUGGAACCUGCAAAAAUAACAAAAACAUUUAUAAUCACAUGACUCAUGUCACUACAUUUUCUAAAUUUUAAAAGUAGUAAAUUUAAAAGUUGAUAACCCUAUGAUUAUUGUCCGAUAGUCAUCUAAUAUCACUAAUUUUGUCAUAUUCGUAAUAUGCAAAAAAUAGGUGUCAUGAACUAUUUUUUCUAAAUGUUUUUUUUUUUUGUCAUUUGAUGCAAUUAGUCUUUUUCUUUUAAUGUUUUAAUUUCUUUAUAUUAUUUGUACUUCUCAACCAAAUUCAUUUUAAUUUUAAAAAUCCUAAUUUUAGAACUAGAGUAAGUUUCGAAUACAUCUUCAAAGGUUUAAUUUAAAAAUGAGUCAUUUUGACAAAGUUAGACUUAAACAUGCAAGCUAAGUAAGCUAUUCACCACCCCCCACUUAAAAGCUAAGCACAUAUUCAUCAAUUAUAUCACAAAUAUAUCCACAAACCUGAACUCAAUGAUUACGGAGGAGCAUACUUUUGCCAACAAGAUGUCGCGAUCCACGAGAUAGGAUCCAUUCAACAAAUUUUGGGCAUCUGAAUUGGAAACAGAUGAGUCCGUUCUCAAGAAUUGUAAUUGUUGGCAUUUCAAUUUUAUUAACAAUAACAACGAGCUAAACAAAAUCCUCUAUCCAGGACGCACUGAUGAAAACUAAAAUGUAAAAUAAGUACGAAGUAAUUAAUUAAAACAGAAGACAAAAGAAACCCAAAGUAAGUUGACAAAAUGUCCACAAUAAGCUUCAAGAUGAGUGAGAGGGAACACCAAGAGAAACAUGAAUAGCCUUGCUAACUUUUCACUACUAGCCAACUACAUAUUUUUUUACAAUACGUGUUAGGGAAAUCUUUCCCUUUGCAAAACAGACCAAUAUAUAAUCAAUCAUUGGCUCUUUAUGGGAAAAUAUAGAAGCCCUAUACAUGUCUGUUUCAAGCCUGUGUUGAACAACUUUUAAUCCCCUAAGAUAAGGAGAUUUAUCUGAAGGUUCGAGAAUAAUGACAUGUCCUAAACUAACCCACCAUUUCGCAACAGUGAACCAGUUUGAUCGUUAGGGGACAACUUUUGAUAAUAAGCGCACAACCAUGCCUCAACUUCAAUGUUGCCCAAAAGUAAAGUCUUUUCUUCACAAUGCUCCAUAAAAAAAGUUCGACUUUCACAUAAAGAUCUGAUUUCUUUUUUAUUGCUCCAAGAGAUCUAAUAGAUCUAUUUUCACCACGCAAAUCCUUUUUCUUAUCAUGGAAAAUGUGUUGGUUGUGCUCAAACCAAAUCUCUGCUAGCAACACUUUUAUCAAAUUAACCCAUAUUUUUUUUUUAAAAAAAAAAGAGGAUAUGAGUCUCACUAUUAUUAAUAUUGAAAAAUGAAGAGACAAAGCUCAAUGCCAUGAGGAUUAUACAAAGAGCAAUAUGAUGGAGGAUCAACAGACGCACCUGGACAUCUCAACUAGGUUGACACCCCUUAGCGCCCUCAUCACAUCCAAAAAGCGACAACACAAGAUCAAAACCAAAAGCCACAAAUAGAAGGCUUUUUUGUGUUUGUUUUGCCUUUGGACAUUACUCUCUUUGUUAUGGGUUUUAGCUUGGUUGGAUAUGAUGAGGGUGCUAUGGGGGUGUCAACCUAGUUGAGAUGCCAAGGUGCACCCCCUGAUCCAUGGUUACAUGUUCAUUGUAUAACUCUCUUGUACUAUGAGCUUUUGUCUAAUUAUUAUUAAUAUUUUAAUAUUAAUAAAGAGGUUGUCUCCUUUUCAAAAAAAAAAAAAUAAAAAUAAAACAAAACAAAAGCCACAAAUAUAAAACCAAACAAAAUGAUAAAAUAAUAUGUCCAAAACAAAAUCAUAUAUCAUAGGUAGCAGGUCGAGAACAAAGAAGAAUAAGCCUUGAUUGAGAAAAAAAUCCCAACAAAUAUUGAAUGUUUGGAGAAGACGGAACCAAUAUUUCGAUACAAAGAUAGGCAAUAAAAAGGUGCUAAAUAUUUUUCAUGUUAUCAACACAAAUGGGGCAGACAUGAGGUGAGAGGACAUGGGAGGGAAGUUUUCUUUGAAGUACUAAAGCACAGUUUAAUUUUCCAAACAACAUAAUCCAUAUGGGCAUAUUUAUCCAAAGAGUGAGCCAAAUAGCCCAAUGAGUGAUGGUUUUAUAAAACAUCAUUUUGAAACAAUAAGUAUUUAACAAUUAACUCUUAACAUAAAUGAAAUCAAACUCAAACAACUUAUCUCAAACUUUCCCUUUCAGUUGCUAUACCUAGAAUCGUCGAGAUGAAAAACAAUAAACUAGGCAUAGAAGCCUAUCCCGUGAUACGAUACUUACGAGAUGAAACUCUAGGCAUCAAUUGUGCCCUAUCUCGUUAUAACUACAAUGAGAUGGAAAACUAGGCAUUCGUACAGGCUCUCGUUCCUUGAGAUAGGAAACUAAGCAUCUUUAGAAGUCUUCAACUCUUAUCUAGUACCAAUGAUGGAAAGCUAGGUAUUUACCGAAUAUCCAAAUCAAAUGACCUCUAUGCACAAGAAAAUCUCUCCCGAAGGGUUGCUAUAUAUCUUAGAAUAUUUUAGGUAUAGACUAAAACAUGCUAAUAUUAUUUUCAAGCUUAAACAUUUUGAAAACUUAGCACAAUCAUGAUUGCUUAUAAUUUUCAUUAGUAAAUUCAUCAAUAAAAAACAUGUUUACCAAAAUGUUUCUAAAUUCAUGCUUUGGAAAUAGUUUAUAAGUCAGUAUCCUCAAAUAUUCAAACAUAAAAGCAUGCUUGAAACAUUUGAUAAUAAAUUUAUGUUUAGAAAUCAAUUUUAAACUCAUUUUUGUCACUUAUAGAGAGUAGCUUAGACCCUUGGCUUAUAAACUUGUUCGAUCUCCUUCAGAUCUAAAAUAAUGAAAAAUAAUGGGAAAUAAUUCCAUUUAAUUCUCAUUGAUUAUAAAAAUAUCAAAACUUUGCUUAAAAUUUCCAAAAACCACAAAAACAGCCCAAAGACAUUAGCUUGCGUACAAAAUAUUGUGGCAGGAGUUGGCAUGCGCGCGUAGGGCUUGCCUUGCCAUGUCUCGUGCUAACCUCAUGUGCAGUGUGUCACAAUUACAACUUUUCAAACACGAAACAGACUAUUGUGCGGCACUUGUUGUAACUCGAUGAACACGUCAGUUGUAUGAAGUUCGAUACAUGAUGUAGCCUCCCUACAGGUUUUAAGAGAAAUUGGUUUUAUUACACAUGAGAGAAAAAGGAAAGCAUUGGAAACAUCGUUAAAAAAAACUUUGAAGACUGUCCAUUGCAAAGACAACUUAAAUUGCAAAGAGUACCUCUGUGAUGAGAUUGGUUUGUGGAACCAAUUGGGAUGGGAAAAAGUUUAGAGAUAUUUGAGAGAGAAACUUUUUUCUUUUUGCAAAGAGCAAUAGUGUUAGCCUUAUUUUUCUUUUUUUAUUAAUUCAUUUUUUUAAGAAAAUUGUUUUCUUCUAGAUAUUAUAACUCUCUUUCCUUCUUGGAAUAGAAAAUGAAGUAGAAGAGAACCAUGAGAUUCUAUUAAUUUACAAAUAAUUAAAUUAAAAUAUAUUUCAAAUCUACUAAUUAAUUAAGCAUUAAUCAAUUAGUUAAUAAUUAAUGAAAUCAAAUUUAAUUAAAUAAUAUUAAACUAAACUAUUAAUUAAUUCUCCAAUUAAUUAAUAACACUAAAUUAUUUAUCUUAUAUUUAACUUAAAUUAAAUUUGAAUCAUAUUCAAAUAUAAGUUUCUCUCAAUAAUUUUAAUAUGAAUCCAAUUCACAUUAAAUUAAUAUUUGAACUCAUUCAAAUAUUUUAUCUCUCAUAAAUUAAUUUUGAAUCAUCCCCAAAGUUAAAUUUAUAUAGUAAAGUUUGAUAAACUUUAUAUUAUAAUGUAUUACUAUACAUUAUACUAAUUCCCAAGUUAAAUUUAAAUAUUUUAAAUUACAACCAAUAUAAAUAAAUCUCAUUACCCUUUACGAGCUAGGAAGGGACCUAAUGGACCUACAGAUCAAAAGCUACAACGAUCUAAGAUUAAUUGACUAAACUCAUUAACCACCUUAAUCAAUAUUCAUUAGCUGUGUGUACACUCCACUAAAGACUCACAACUGAACUCUUCUCACUAUAAAUAUAUUUAUGUGUCCACGGAUAUAGACCAAUAAUAGUAAGUUAGUCCUUCACGAGUGUUUGUAACACCAGUUGGAUCAAUUUACCGCUUUACCCCUAUGUUACCUCUAAUCCUUAAAAACCAGUGCUCCUCUAAUGAACAACUUAUUUAUGAUCCUACUAGUAAACAGAAACCCCUCUCAUGUCAUAGAGAGGGUAAGGGCCCUUUGUUCAAGUUUUAGAGACACCAUUUAAGCUAACAUUCAUCUACUUACCCUAAAGUAGGAAAUGAGUGAAUUCCAUUUUGUGCAAUUAUAAUCCCAAAAACGUCAAGAAAUAUGUGAUUUCAAAUAAAAAAACGUUAAAUUUUUUUUAUGAAAGGCCAAUUUUCAACUUUUUGACGUUUAUUAAAUGUCAAGUAAGAUGUAUUUUUUCUUGACGUUUUUUAAACAUCAAGAAAUAUCUAAUAAUUUUUUGACGUUUAAAAAACGUCAAGAAUGUUUAUGAAUUCAACAUUCUUGACGUUUUUUAAACGUCAAUAAUAUAUAGUUUUCCUCGACGUUUUAAAAACGUCAAGUAAUUUUUAAAAAAUUCUUAACGUUUUUAAAAUGUCGAGAUAAUUCUAAAAAGUUAUUGACAUUUUUAAAAACGUCAAGAAAUUUAUAAAAAAUUCUUGACGUUUUUAAAACGUCAAGAUAAUUCUAAAAAAUCGUUGACGUUUUUAAAAACGUCAAGAAAUUUCUAAUUUGUUUUUGACGUUUUAAAAAUGUCAAGAAAUUUCUAAAAAAUUAUUGUGUUAAUAUUCUUUUACAAAACGCAACAUUUCACUUAGAUCACUUCCCCUUUUCUUAAUUAAACCUAAUUCGCCGCGACUUUGUCCCUUCAACACCAAAAAUCAAAAUCGUCGUUCACCUAACCUUCCCUUCGUGUUCAUCUGUGUAUUCAUCUGCGUUCAUCACCGAAAAAGACUUCCCUUCGCGUUCAUCAACGUUCACCUUUAUUCAUUUGCAUUCACCGUCUGUCACCGUUCGUCUGCUUUGCGUUCCCUUCGCCUUCGUUGAUCUGCGUUCGUCUGUUCACCGUUUGAAAUGCGUAAACACGUUCUCUGUUCGAAAACGAGUUAACACGUUCACCAUCCUUCUGUCGCAUUACACUUUCGCUAAACCUCUAUUUGUUUCCAAAUCCUUCAUGGUUAUUCAUUUUCUUCCCUUUCUAAAGGUAAUAAUUUUCCUUUUUUCCUUUGUGAUUAAAAUUUGUAAUUUGUAAUUUAAAAUUGGAAUGCAAAAUUAAAGAAGAGGAAAUAUGCCUUAGAGAAUGGAAGAAAGGUUUUGCAUUUUAGGCUUGAAAAGGGGGAUACAAGUUAUUAUAAUUGUAAUAUAUAAUAUUUUGAACAAGGCUACCAAGCGUGCGAAUAUGAUUCAUUGGUUAGUUUAGGGAUUGGAAAGAGAAGGAUUGUGGAGUUUGUGAUAAUAUUUUGGUACACGGCAGCUGGAAACAGAGAAUAUUAAAAAACACAUACUGUUAUACACAGUCUGAUAAUAAUACGAAUCACUAGCUUUUCUUCUUCUUCUUUUUCUUCUCCUUGAAUUUUUGUUAUGGGUUUUGUAUUGAGUUUUGUGUUUUAGAUUGUGAAGUAUGGGGUAGCUAAACUCUUAAUCCUAGGGAUAGAUGUAGACAAAGUUUAUGAAUUACUCUUUGUAAUGCAUCUGAUUAUUUGCUCUUAAUCUUUUCAUGUUUUUAUGUGAAUAACGUUUAUAAUAUCUUGAUCACAGAUUAAUUGUUGAUUGGCCAUGAACCUUAAUCUUUGCAUGACUAGAGUAGUUAUGAACAUGGAAAGAGAUAAUUAAGGAUCUCUAAGGAGGUUGUUGAAAGAAGUGGACCUAAAAAUUUUUGUUUGUUAAUAAAAAGAAAAAUGAACAGAGAUUCAUCUUCGUCAGGGGUCUUGAUGUUUAAUUUAAUUUAAAUUGUGUAUGAAUUUUUAAUUACGAGAAUUUUAAUAUGUUGCAAGAGCACUAUAGCCAAGGUAUAGAGUGAGGGAGAUAAGGUUUAUAUGUCUUAGAGAAUGGAAAGAUGGAAUUUGUGCUAAAAUCAUUAGUGUUCCAAAUACAAUUAUGAAUUAGGUAUAGUUGCAUUCCCCCUUCUGGAUUGCAUAGCACAUAAAUAUACGCAUACUGAAAAACAAUAACAUAAAACACAAACUUGAUUUAGUUUCAUUCACACUUGUACACCAACAUGUUUCAAGUAAUGAUCAUAUAUUAAAAAUCAUUUUCAAAUUUGGUAAUAUAAAAUGGAAGAAGUGAGACCUUGAGGUUUUGACCACCAAUACUAUCUAACUGAUGAGUUUAUGAUUUUUGUUUCUACUGUGUUCUUUCCUUAAGCUUUAACUUGUUUUAGGGGCAAGAUGGUGAAGGUCUAGUCCACAACCUUUCCCAAGAAUUUAAUGAUGUUUGGGUUGGCCCAAUUAUUGUUAUUGGACACCGUUUUAUGGUAAUUGGUUGUUAUGGUUUUUAAGUGGGGUUUUGAUAUCUUGUGUUAAAAAAUAAUUGCAAAAAGUCGAAAAAAUUUGUUAAAGAUUAGGUGUUUUUAAGUUUGUCAUUCCACUUUAAUUCUCACCAGUACUUGCUGAAUGGAAGCCUCUUGUCUAAGACAAUUCGAGUGGAAUAACUCUCGUGACUACCACAACAUUUGGGAACUCACCAAAUGUAAGACUAUUCCUUUAUCCUAGCAUUUGAUCUCUCUCUAUAAUUUGGUUUGCUAUCGUAAGUUUGAUUAAAAUAAAUGCUGAUAAUUCAACUCCAAUGUUCUUAUUUUCUUAACUCCCAUUCAGUCAGUUAGAAUCAUAACUCAUUUAUUUAUCUUGUCUCCAUAAUUUGGAUUCAAAGAUUCAUCACAACAAUCUUCUCAACAACAUUCUUGAAAAGGUAUUGAAUUUUCAACUGUGUGACCUUUAUACACAAAUUUCUUCAAAGAAAUUUACAUUCUUUAGAGUUUAGAGCUUUGAAUUCUAGUACAACUUAUAAAGCUUUUGAUACUUGUUAGACUUUUUUGCUUGGUGCGGAUAAAACCUUAUUUACAUUCUUUCUUUCCUGCAUGUUCUCUUUUGAUAUUUGUUAGACUUUUUUGCUUGGUUGUCCUUAGUGUUUUCCUCUUUAGCUGAAAUUUCUCUAUCUUGAAAAAAAUAGAGCUUUAAAAUUCAACUUUAACUUUAUUUGAUACUAUCUUAGUCCAUACUUAUUUUGGUAUUUCUUUCAUUUCUCACAAACACAUCUAAGAGGUUGCCUUCACAAUAUGGCCAAAUUAACAAUAUGGCAACCUUUUUCAUUGCAAAACAUAUUAGAGGUUGGUUACUUAGUUAGCCUUAUUGGGUAAAUAAUUGACAUUUAGGUACUUUUUAGUUUGUAUAUUUAUAGAUGCCAAAUCGAUAUGUGAAUUUUAAUUGUUGCUUAUUUGAAACAUUGCAACCAUUUGAUAAAAUGUUGCUAUGUGAAUCCAUCUUAACUUGAUAUAUUAUUUUAUUUUGGUUUAGGUUGUGGAAUCCAAGUUUGUAUUUGAAGUCAAAUUCAUCCAAGAUCAUUGAGUUUCAAAGCUUCUUUAAUUAAGAUUUUGUUUCUUGAACUAGAAUUGUAGUCUUGUGAUUUUUGGAAUAGCAUAGUUGGAUUGGUUUUGUAAUUUUGGGAUUAUCAUAUUAGGUUGGGGUUGACUGAAGUAGUGUUUUGUAUAUGACAAUAUCGAACAAACAUGUAAAGUUUUCGAAAUGUUCAUACAUAUAUGAUUAAAUGUUAAUAUAUGUUAAAGUUUUGGAAUUGUACUCGUGCAUAUUUAUGAGAUUGUUGGGCCACACUACAGGAAUUAUAGAGACAAUACAGGAACAAAAAUAUAAAUAAAUUAUAAUUUAGAAAAAAAAUGAAACAAGCUUGACGUUUUUUAAAUGUCAUAAACAAAUACAUUCUUGACGGUUUUUCAAUGUCAUUAACAAGUAAAUUCUUGACGUUUUUUAAACGUCAUAAACAAUUGUGUUCUUGACCGUUUUUAAAUGUCAUAAAUUACAUUCUUGAUAGUUUUUAAAUGUCAUGAAUACUCAUUCACUUGACGAUUUUUAACUGUCAUGAAUAUUUGUAUACUUGACGUUUAUAAACUGUUAAGAAUCGCUAUUCUUGACGUUUUAUUAACCGUCAAGAACUUUGACUUUCUUGACGCUGGCUUCAAUGACGGUUUUAAAACCGUCAAGAAUAGUGAUUCUUGACAGUUUAAAAACGUCAAGAGAGUCUGUUUUUGUAGUAGUGAAUGAUAAGCUUAUUGAGUCGGCGAUCUAGCCACUCUCACUCGUACAAAUCAAAGGACAAUCUCUCGCGAACAAGAGUUCAUAAUACACUCAAGAUUAAGACUAAGUUAUAUAGGUCAUCCUAGUGAAAUAGAAACCUAACUAGUUAACGUAGUAACACCAAGUGGUUACUAUUUCACGGUAUGGUCUAUUGCAAUCUCAUUGCAUAGGAUACUUUCACUCGCAUGACAACUACACGAACGCAUUGGAUCAUUGUAUUUGUAUCAAAUACAAAGUGAGUCGUAUUCAUAAUGUUACCAGGAAAAAGGUACCUAGUCUUAUCCCUAUACUAUAGACCCUUUAAGCUAAUCUCGAACAUUGAUCCAUGUAUGUCUCUACAUACUAUUCAAUACUUAUUAAACAGUUUAGGAUGUUAGUUUAUUGGAUUUGAGUUAUUAAGACAAAACUAAUAAUAUAAUCAAUAACAAUUAUUACAAUAAUAACACUUUAUUAACAAUGGUUAAUGGAUUAUAUUUACAAUCUACGAGUUUUAGGACAUAAAUUCCAACAAACUCCCACUUGGACUAAAACUCUAGUCUCUUUGGGAUGUUCAUAAUAAAGUAAUCCUAGCUCUAACAUUGAAAAUGGUAAAAUGUACAAGUGUAUUACAUAAAAUAUAUAUAUACAAAUACAAUAAACUAGGGCAUCCUCAUACCCAUUACACAUCUGCCACUUUUCCUAGAUUACCUAAUGUACAUAACUCGCAGAUCUAGACUUUCUAGAAGACCCUCGAACACUUUAGCCAUGAGAGUCUUUGUAAAUGGAUUAGUAAUAUGCCCCACUAUUAUCACAAUAUAAAGUGAUGGGGCAUGUUCAUGUUUGGAACAACUUCCAAAUUAUGCAAGAACUUCCUCAGCAAAACUGCUUCUUUUGCUGCUUCACAAGUAGCAAUAUACUCAACUUUCAUAAUAGAGUGUGUAAUGACGCGUGGCUCAGGCUGCUUGAUCAUGCCAGGACAUGCUUCUUGCAUGUCCCAAGCCUAAAUAACCUCUUUCGCUCAAAACACACGCUCAUCUCACCUUGUCAUCCUGGCAAUCAACCCACCCUUGGCCUUGCCUAGAAAUAUGAUUUUUCUACCAGAAACUUAACUCGACUUUGAAGCUUAAAUCAAUAAGCUUCCUUCUACAAACUUACUUAGAAUGUCAUCACUAGCUUACCACAAAGUGUCACUAACAAAAUCCAAGUAUUGAGUUCUGUAGCUCCAAAAUACUCUACAUUGUUAAAUUUUUUUUUUCUUUUGAAAAUGACCUUUGAGUCUUUCUUCACUUCAAUUCCUUUAUUCCUGGCAGCCUUUCUUCUGAUACUAGACUCAAUUUAGGAGAUUUUUGAAGUAGAGUUACCCAAUUAACACAAGUUGCUUGUUAACAUAAUUCGUCCAAAGUUGUACAUAUAGUGAUCCUUGCAUGCUCUUUGGUUGACACUUUUAUUCUCACCUCUUACGCCCAUACUUGCCACUUUCCACCUCAUGCAAGACACUUAUUUGGCAAAACUUAGGUAUCUUGUAUGUUGUCCACUUGUACUCUACCGCACAUCUUACCUCAUAUUGCUUAAGUCAUCCUUGGAUGCAUAUCCCUUUUUCUAUGAGGGUUCUUUAGUAAAUUCUUACUGCCAAGAAUGCCUAAGACUUUUUUUUCUCGCCUAAUCUCCCAAACAUCCCUCAAUGCCUUCAACAAACCAUGCCAUCUUGACUAGCAUUUGGUUGAAUUGCCCCAUUGGCCGCAUGGCCUAUGUCCACAUAGCCCACCUCUUUGUUGCAUGACAUUCCUUAUCCACGUUCUAACUUCUUUAGAGUUUCUUGACAUUUCCUAGAUGCUUAGCUUCCUUGCCUAGCGCAUACCCUUGGUCAUAUAGCCUUGUCUUAUAGAGGUUGUCUUGACACCUUUCGGCCAUACCACAUCUCAACCUUUGGCCACCCAACAUGUCUCUUUAGAGGUUCGCUUGACACUUUUGGCCGCCUAGAGUAUGCAACAUGCCCUAGACAACACUUAGCCAAUUUUCGAACACCCUUUAUGCCUUUCUUUGUUACGAUGACACUUUUCUUUUGUCAUCUUAAAAAUAUUAACACAUCUUUCAUAACACUUCAACUAAACUAUCCAAUCUUAAACCAUCUUUCUCCUAACAUCAACCCCUAAUGUCCUAUUGAGUUCUUUAGAUGAAUUAAGGAUUAUUAGGUAUCGGGGUUUACACGCGAGAUGUAAGUCUUCCUCCUUGGAAUUACGUAUAGUAGUGUGCGGAGGGAGAGGAAUGUGAUGCAGGUCUUCCUCCUCAACCCUAAGGAAUUCUUCUUCGCUAACAAUGCCCUUUUGAUCGGGUAAGGGCUUGUUCGGUCAGGUCGUGAGGUGAAGGAUGUUGUUAUAAUGAUGGGGGAUUUGGUGGUGAGAGGAUAAUAGACAUGCGAGAAGACUUGGGUAAGAUUGAUGAGGGGGAGUUUCAAUUUUUGGAUGAGGACUGGAAUUGAAGGAUUUGGAUUUUGGAGGAGGCGAUGAGAGAGUUAGGGGUCGGAUUGCAAGAGGUUUAGGGUCGAUGGCCACGUCUAGCUUUCGUCUUUUUUCCUUUUUAUACGAGUUAGACGCGUCAUCGUGGACCUUUCUCCUCUUUAGCAGUGGUGGCAACGGAGAAGCCUCUUCUUCUUCUCUGCCAUUCCAUUCUUCUCCCUUAACUUUAUUAAAGGUUUUGAGGUGUCUCUCUUCUUCUUUAUUUUGAUGGAGUGUUAUGGUUUGGUUGAGAUUCGCCUGAGAACAUGCAUAAGGGGUGAUUGCAGAAAAGCUAAAAGCUUAGGAACCGUCGGAGGAAGGGCAGAUCAUUAAUUGUAUGUUACGCCUUCCUCUGACGUGGUGGCAGCAACGUUGAGAAUAGAUUUAGGGAUUCCCGACGUAUCAUUAAUUGCGUGGGAAUAUGUUUAGGGAUUUCUGACGUUUAACAAAUCAGGUCAAGAAUAGGGUGCUAUUCCCGACGUUUUCGUUGUGCGUCAGGAGUUCUCUGUCUUUUUUAACUCCAUUCUUUACAUAAAUGAAACAUAAAGAGAAAGAAAAUGAGAGAGGGAGAGGGAGACCGAGAGGAAGAUUAAGAAGAAGAGGGCAUUGUCAUCUCCAUUGCCGUCCCUUUGUUGUCGUCGCCGCCAUCGGUAAGUGGUUUAGUUUAGUUAUUUGUUUAGUUUUAGUAUUUAGAUUUCAAAUUUGUUUUAGGUGUUAGAUUUUAGAUUUCAAAUUAGUUUUAGUAUUUAGAUUUUGAAUUAGUUGUAAGUUUUAGUAUUGAAAUUUAAUUUCAAGUGUUGUUAGAAUUUUGAAUUAGUUGUAGGUUUUAGAAAUUUAAAUUUGAAGUGUUGAAGUUAAGAUUGAAGUGUUGAAGUUGAGGUUGAAGUGUUGAAGUUGAGUUUGAAUUUAAAGUUUUCAAUUUGAAUUUAGGAAUUAAUUGAAGUUUUUUUUUAUAAAAAAAUAGAGGAUCUCCCGACGCAUGGUUCCUAGACAUCUCUCGAUGCUAUAUUGACAACAUCUUCGACGUUCAUACAACGUCAGAAGAUGUCUAGAAACUCUCGACGCACAACAUUGUGCAUCGGGAGUUCCUCUCCCGAUACAUUUUUCCUGACUUGUGUUCCAACGUAUAUUUAGUAUGUCAGAAAAGCCUUUUCUGAUGCUUUUUAUAUAUCUCCCAAUGAUUUUAUGCAUCGAGAGAGCCCUCAUUUCUUGUAGUGUUAGACAAAGAGCUUCAAUGUGGUAGAGGGGAAAGGCAUGACACCUUUAGGUGCUUUCAUCAAAGGGAGGAUUGAGGUUCUGAUUAUGGCGCUAAGGUUAACUGCCAUCUUCUUCUUAAUGCAAUAAAUCAUCAUUGUGCACUCUAGUGGGAUGGUGUUGUUGUCAACCAGGCAGGCGGUUUCGUUUUCAAGUCUUAGUUCUUAAUCCUUAACAACCUUUGAGUAUUGAUGCUCUACCCCAACCCUCAUCUAAAACGAUAACUAACACAAUGGUUUGGAAGUUUUUGUGAAACAUCAUCUAUACUUUUUCUUUAAUGGUCGAUGAAAAAAAAGUCAGGAAAAUGGUAUUUCUGACCAUUUUAAGUGUUACCAAAAUAUCACAUUUGGUGUAGUAUGGUAUUGUUUUGAAUAUUUUUGUAAAAUAGUGGAUCAAGAAGUUUUACUAAGAUAAAGUUUCAUGUUGGACAAGAGGAUAGUGGAUGGGAAUUAAGUUGAAUGGUCCACUUUUUUUUUAAAUCCUUUAAGGUUUUAUGAAAACCUUUCACAAUACCUUUUCAUAAUCAUUUUGUAAAAAUAAUAUCAAAUCAUUUAAAUAUACCGAAAAAUUAUUUCAUUUCGAAUAAACCUUUCUUUAUGCUUAAAAAAUCAUUUCAUUUUGUCAAGGAUCCCGAAUCAUUCUCUACGCUUGGUGUCAUUACCUCGCGUUUAGACUACUGUAUCAACAGCAUCUGAGAACAUACAAAUUCGUCUUUGUUGCUCAUACCGCUAAGCUUUAUACGCUCAUUUCAAUGCAUAAGUCAGCUUCUUAUUACCAUGUAGUUCGUACACUCCAUAGUUGCCUUCACUCUUUAUGUGCACACAAAAGUUAGCAUCAUCUCAAAGAAACAUAAUAUUGAAAUCAUAGUCAUCAAAUCAAGCUUUAACAUUAUAAAUAAUGCUUGAACACAUAACUUUUCAUAGAAAUCUUUCUGAAACAUUCUCAUCUGAAUUCUUCUUUCAAAUCAGUAAAGAGAAAUCGUAAUAAAGUUUCUUAACAUAAAUUCUUUUGACUGAAAAGCACUCACCAAACUUUACUAAAGAAGUCCUUCUCACAACCAUCUUUUCGCGUGGCUAAACCAACAACACUUUAACAUUUCAACAAAACUCUCGUCAUCCCCUCCUUAGUUACCUAAAUUCUCCUAUUUUAUAGAUCCCUUAUACUAACUUAGUCAUGCAAAUCCUUAAUAUUUAACCUAGUCAUGCUCAAAUCCUUAAUCUUACAUGUUAACCCAUGUCAAAUCAGAUUUGACAUUUUCUUUACAAACCUUGCUCCCCGCCUAACCCAAACCGUGAAUAAAUUCAACCACUUAACAUUUCUCGUGAAUAACCUUAUCGCUUGAUUAUAUUUUUAUUAUAAGAAACGUUCCACGUGAACUAACCAACUUUUACUCGCAUAGAACUCUUAUCGUGAACUAAAACUCCAAGGCUUUCCUCGUAGACUUCUUUCUCCACGAAACACUUGGUUCUUCUCGCGAAGACCACCCAAAACUCCUAGUCUAACACUCAAAACUUUCAUUUCCUAACUUACGCAAAGACUUUUUCGCUUCUUAUCGCACAACUUCUUUCGCGAACUACCCACUUAUCGCAAAAAAGUAUACUUAACCGUAAAAGAUCUUAUCACUUAAUCUUUCCAUGGAUUUAUUUGAACACCAACUUCUUAAUUCUUAGCCGAAUUUUACUUCCUUACUCGAAUUAGAAAUGGGUCGCACAACUUCCUUCGCGAACUACCCACUGAAUCGCAAUAACGUAUACUUAACCAUAAAAUUUUUUAUCGCUUAAUCCUUUUCGUGGAUUUAUUUAAACGCCAAAUUCUUAAUACCUAGCCAAAUUUUACUUCAUUACUCAAAUUAGAAAUGGGUCUCACAUUUGGAGUGUAACGACCCAACUUUUCUAAGUAAGUCGAAGUCAUUAAUUUCAAAUAAAGACUUGAGUUUACACAAAAUCUCAAUCUCAAACAAUUUCAAAGUCUCAAGAAAACAAAAAAUUUAUAUCUGGGCCCUAUUUAAAAUAACCAACACUUUCAAGAAAAAUUUACUAAUUCGUGAAUACAGUUCAACUAUAAAAUCUUCUAAACAAUCUCAAGUACUAAAACAAAACACGUGAAACAAAACAUUUAGCGAAAGCAAUUUAAAAUAACCCCUAUGGCAAUCACGCUUCCUUCCUGCCCCUCGCCGGUUUGCCGUCUUUAUUACCUUUGCCUGAAAAUUAAACAUAAGGAGGGUGAGUAUAAAAAUACCCAGUAAGAGACCCUCUACUGGUCCCAUCAGGGGAAAAAUAAAUUGUUAACAUUCUAUUGGGACACCCUGUACAGUCGCAGUCUUGUGAUCCCGUAGGAUGCACAUUUCAGUCUAACGUUCCAAGGGACGUACAUUUCAGUCUAGUGUUCUGCAGAGACACAUAUCAGUCUAAUGCUCCCGAAGGUGCAGAAUAAUUGGUGAUCCCGUUGGACACCUACAAGACACACAUCCCAAUAAAAGCUAACAAUUUUUCCCCUCAGUCCAUUCUAAACAUCUUAACAGUCAUUCAUAGAUAAGUUAAACAUUCUCAUCACGUAAACUCCUUAUUUAACAGCAUAUCAUUACAUCAGUUAACAAGCUAAACAAUCAUAACCUCCUCCUUAGUCACCAAAGGCACAACCAUGACGUUUCUUCCGUUCACAAGCACACAACAUAACAGUAGAUAUUAUACAUUCAGUCUAGACAACAAUCAAUCUACUAAUCAAAUCCACACUUUAUAUAAGCAACAUCUACGAGAUUCAGUUUUUCCACAUCCUUAUCUUUGUACACAUACAUAACCAGACAGUCACAACAUAUACUCAACCACAGUCCACAUCAACCCAUGCACAUAUAUGUAUUAAUUUCUCCCAGUCAAACAUAGCAAACAUUAAACUUUAAGUCAAUGUCCAAACAUACAUCAUAACAGUCGUCUCUACUCAGUUCAAAUAUAAUAAUACGGUCCAUACAGUCAAUACAUCUUAAUUAGUCAUUAUAUCUUAAUUUUGUUGUUGAGUCGAGUAGAAAAUCGCUUACUUUCAAGUUAGUUAAGCUCCUUAACCACGUUGAAGUCUACGAAGAACGAACCUAAACAUUAAGACAAUUUCUCAAUAAUUCUCUUCAACGCAUCAAUCAUUUAAAUUCAACCCAAUGUGAUUUUUUUUUUACAACUUACCCAAGGAAUUCGAGCGUAACCUAUAAUCGAACAGUAAACGAUUUAUCCAACCAAUUAAUCCAGCAAUAUUACUUGAGUUUAUUUGAGGAAUUAUCAAAAAUAGGAUAAUUUGGAAGGAUCUAAAAGAGUUUUGAGAUGAAUUUUAAAAAAGAUGACUUUUAGGACAAAUUAGUUGGAAAAAGUCUAUAUUACCCUCAAGUUAAAAAAUAUCCUAAAAUCAAUUUAUGAAUCCUCUCUUCUCAUUCUCCCUCCGUUUUUUCACUUUCUAAAAAUGUUUCAUUUUUCUCUCAUCCCUCCCUCUGGUGUUCCAUUUUCCCUUAUUUUCACGAAAUUUCCUUUUUCUUCCUUUUCCAUUCUUUAAUUCGUUUUCUUGAAAUUUCUUUCUCAAGCUCUUCCCAUGGUCUCCCACCGGCCUUUGAAAACCAUUUUCUCCAUUUUCUCACUUCCAAAAAGAAUAUUUCAUUUUUCUCUCAUCUCUCUCCAUUUUCAUACAUUGUGGGAUAAAUUGGCCUUCCUAAUUCUAAGAGCAUGAGAAUGUUGCUCUCACCUGCAUUGUUGUACAUUAUAUAAAAGUUCUGCACACUUUACAAUUUUCCAAGAUAAUGAAAUAAAAAUUGCAUACCAAAAAACAAAAAUGGUAUUCAUUCCAUUAUAUAAAACUAUUUAUGUACAUAGUUUGGAACAUAUACAAUUCCUUCAAAAGUUGGAACUAAAAGUCAAUAAUUGGAUUGUUGGUCCAUAAUUGGAUUGUUGGUCCAUAAUUCCUACAAUUUUCAUACAUGGGAUUGUUGGUCCAUAAUUGAAAUGCCAAUUGUUUUCUAAAAUAUGACAUGUUUUCUUGACAUAAUGUAGCUACAUCUAAACCAGAAGCUUCAUAUUCGAAAUACUUAAUUGUAAAUACACCACAAUCACUAUUGUUGCGUUGAAGUGGAAUGGAGUCGACAAUGACAAGUGGCCAAGGUUCCUUGUGUGUUGAUGAUCCGCCUCUCCUAACAAAGAAUCCAGUAGCAUCGAGCAAAUUUGGCACCAUCUCUUGAAUUGGCUCUAAUAUGCUUCUCAUAUCUUCGGCACUCGUCAGCGACGGAAGCGAAUCCCAUACCUUAACUUGACAACGUACCAAGUCCAAGCAUAAUAGAAUCCAAUGAUUGCCAUGGAUAUUGAAUGGAGAGUAAAUGUAAUCAACAUUCACCCAAGGAUCUUGACAGUCUUAUUUUGAUCCGACAACAUAGUCAACCUGCUUACUAAAUGUGAUAAACUACUUACUAUAGACUGAAAAUGAUGAGCAGGGUCAAUCUUGUACAUGGGACCGUUAGUUGAUGUCGAAGCCAUACUGAAACCUGCAUAAAAAAAAACUAAUUAAAUAUAAUUGCAUAAGAGACUUACUAAACAUGGAUGCACUAGCAUCUUGGGACUUCUACUCAAAAUUUUGGAAGGUGAGAGAUAGAUGCGAGAUGCUGGAAAACUUCAAGGCAAAGUUGCUAAGUCUAAUAAAAUUGCUAACCCUAAAGCCUUAACACCUAGUAGAGUAGCUAAACAUGCAUUCUAAACGGUAUAGGAAGUUUACACUCUUAUAUUGGGACUUCUACUCAAAAUUUUGGAAGGUGAGAGAUAGGUGCUGAUAGGUGCGAGAUGAUGGAAAACUUCAAGGCAAAGUUGCUAAGUCUAAUAAAAUUGCUAACCCUAAAGCCUUAACACCUAGUAGAGUAGCUAAACAUGCAUUCUAAACGGUUUAGGAAGUUAACACUCUUAUAUUGAGACUUCUACUCAAAAUUUUGGAAGGUGCGAGAUAGGUGCUGAUAGGUGCGAGAUGAUGGAAAACUUCAAGGCAAAGUUGCUAAGUCUAAUAAAAUUGCUAACCCUAAAGCCUUAACACCUAGUAGACUACCUAGACUAGCUAAACAUGCAUUCUAAAGAUUGUAUUCUAUUGGAACUACAUCACUAAAAACAUUAACAAAGUAGAGAACAACAAUGCAGCUUAUGAUAAUGUCUUUCAACAAAUUGCAAAGGAAAUGGUCUUUCAACAAUGCAGCUUAUGAUAUUCUAUUGUACUGGUAGCUUUGCAGAGUUUAUAUGAGAUACCAAAUAUAUGUUCGAAUUCAAGUUCUAAACUCCAAGGUAUGGUUUUUCUAUUAUUACAGUACAUUGCAAAGGAAAUGAUGGAUACGGCACUGCCAACGUAGAGGAGUGGAUAAGAAAUGGAGAGGUCCGGUGAAAACAAACCUGAAAUCGAAAUGGAUGGAAGUGGAGAAGCGUCCGCCGGAGUUGAAGUCGAAAGUAAAACAGAGACCCGUGCAGAAGAAAUGGAGACCGUUCGGUGAACAAGUUGAAAUCAGAAAAAUAUAGCGCGAGGAGUCGUGGAGAAGAAAUGGACGGAAGAGAAAAACGUUCACCGGAGGCGGGAGAGAGUUGAAGGGGGUAACUGUAAACGCGGGAGAGUUCAAAUGCUCUGGUUUACGUUUUUCUUUUGAACGGCCUUCUGUCUUUGGGUUGAAGAAAAGGAAAAAGAAGAAAAGAGGAAGGAAAAUAAAAGAGGGUAUUUUCGUCAUUUCACCUCCAAUUUAUCCUAAAUCUCAACUUUUUUACAAUCAAUCCUAAAACUCUUUUUCUACCCCAUUUUUGGCCUAUUUUUGUCAAUUCCCCAGUUUAUUUUGGAAAAAUGACUCUUGGCAAUGCAGGAACGACAGCGAACAACCCAAUCGAAUGGCGUGGGUUUGCUACCUGCGGCAGAACGAAGAAGGAACUCAACGCGCAGAAGGUUGGAUCUGGGGUCUUUUAGUUCGGUUCACGGCAGCAAAUGAAAACCUGAUUGCACAGACGUCAAAGGUGUUAUUCGCGGAAGAAGUCGAGCAGCAGCUUUGCGAAGAGACGACGUGCAACGGAGAGACUGUAUACAGACGGACGGAGAAUCGCGCGGCAGUGCAGAAAACGGAGGAGAAAGGAAUGGGCGGCUGCUGGGCUUGGCUUCGACGGAGACAGAGGCGAUUAGGAUGGGGCACGGCGACGCAGAUCUGGACGACAGCUGCAAGGCGACGCUUACAACUUGCUUCGCGAACAGAGAUGGCGGCCGACGGUUGCAGCGGCGGCUGGGUAUGGUAGAAAAGAAAGAGAAAUGGAAGAAGAAUAGGGUCGGCGGCCGUGGAUCAGAGAAGAAAAGAAGGAGGUAGGGCACGGUGAAGGAGAAAAUAGAAAAAGAAAAUGAAGGGGAAAUGGGGGGUUGCGCGCGGGAGGUUUAUGAGAUUUUUUCUUUUCUUUUAUUUAAAUUAAAUAAUAAAACUAAAAUAUAAAUAAAUAUAUAUAUAAUUAUAUUAUCACAUUUUCAAAUCUUUUUUUCUCCCCCUUCAACAUAUUUUCUUCAAAAAAUAAAUCUUGUACAAAUCGAAUAAUUUUCUUAAAAUAAAUUACCUUCGAGUUCGGGGCGUUACAUAGAGCCUAUCGCUUCUUUAAGAUACAUGAUCUUACCGAUUCAGAGAAAUUAACCACAGGCGUUAUUAGUUUUGAUGAUCUGGCAUUGGAUUGGUACCAAGCACAAGAAGAGUUUGAAGUUUUUAAGAAUUGGGUUGACCUGAAAGAACGAAUGCUUGUACAGUUUGAUCAAUUCGGAGAAGGAACUUUGGUUGGAAUAUUUUUCUCAAUCAAACAUAAAACAAAUGUAGAAGAAUACCGCAACCGAUUUGAUCGCUAUUUAUCUCUGGUAACAUUUCUUCAAACGAUAGUGUUAGAGAAGACUUUGAUGAAUGGGCUUAGCCCAUGAAUAAAAAUGGAAGUGGAAACCGUGGAACCGAUUGGGUUGGCCCAGAUGAUGAAAUUUGCAUUGAAGAUUGAGAAUAAGGAACUUAGUGAGAAAAGAGUGUGGGUUGAGCAGUGCGUUUCAUGUAAAACUGAAACUCACCCUACCUAUUGUGGAAAACAACAAUACAAUGAUGACUCAGGAAGAAACCAACAAUGGAAAGUCUGCUGAUGAGAGCUAUCACCCUGAAGGGAGUUACUGAUAGAACUAAGACAUGCACAGCAGAAAAAGAAUCAAAAUUCUACCCUAAUUGGGCUUAAUUAACGAGACUAAACCAAAAAAUACUUACAUUCGAAGCUGUGUUUUAUUCAAACAACCAUUAAGUUUGACUUAGUAUCCUCUAGACUCAUAAUCAAGUUGUGGGACCCAUUGGAUGAAAGAACCGGACGAGAGAAAUAGAUGAAAAAAAAUGGGCGUGGUAAAUUUUCUUUUUUUUUUUAAAGUAAAUAAGAAAAAGAAAUUUCAUUUGGUGUGAAAGCCUAAAUUCAAUAGUUAACUCAUCAAAUGAGUUCAAAUGCCCCAUUUAUAAGGAUUUUUCAUUCAAAAUUGUAUGUCCAUGCAAUACUAAAGUCCAACAACUCAAAGUCCACUUUCUCUACCAAGGACUUGAUAAAAAAAGAGAAUAUGAGUUAAUAGGAAAAUGAAAGGGAAUUCCUUGGAAAGUUGGUUUGUGUGUCAUUAAAAGUCAAGGUGGAAAACAAAGUACAACAUAUGGCUAAAUGUGAGAGUAGGCGUGCAAGAUUUCUAGGCGACUAAGAAAAGCAUGAGAACCUCUAAAGAAAGGUAUUGGUAUGGCCAAGGUUGUGUGUGUGUGUGUGUGGCUGAGAGGAGUGGUGUUGCCAAGAUAACCUCUAAGCACACAAGGAACGCUAGGCAAGAUGGACAUAAUAGGUGGCCAAAGGAAAGGCAAAAGAACCUCUAAGGAUUCAAUUAUGUGCCCAAGUAGUAAGGUAAGAACCUCCAAGAACAUGUCAAGGCGCCAAGCAUGAAGAUUUGUAGGUGUAGGCAAGAAAACCUCUAUAUAAAGAGUUGUCAUGAGCGGCCAUUUGAGCUUAGGCGAGAUGGCUUUGCUCAAUGAGAUGACUUAAGCUAGGCAGUCAUGUGUACAUGUCACAUCCCAAACCGUACUGCAAUGAAAAUGUCAUAGUAUUAGGAAUAUGAUGUGAGUUUGUUACAAGUUUGAAAUUUUCUUAUCGCAAAAUAUUAUUCUCAAACUCCUUUUAUACUAUUAAUAAAACUCAAAACGCAACGGUGAGUCAACCUAAACAGCAAGUAUAAUAAAUACCUACCAAGAUGUUUAUUAAUAACAUGUGUUUGAUACAUAAUUACUACACUUUGACCAAACAACGAAUGCUUAACUCUUUUCAAAACGUCUGGUCAUCUCGCUGCAAAUCCUUCAACCUUCUUCUCUACUUGGCCUAAACACCUUAUCUUGGAAGAUGAAUUUUUGAAAGAAUGUCUAAAAGACUAAGGUUUUAUGAAAUCCUUUUUGCAAUACCUUUUCAUAAACAUCAUUUCGCAUAAACAACAUCAAAUAAUUUUAUCUCGCAUAAACCUUUCUUUAUCCUUAACAUACUCAUAACAUAACAAUUUCACAUAAACACACAUUAGUUAACAUUCAUUCCUUUCACCAAGGAUUAUGAAUCGUUCUCUACACUUUGAUGUAGAACAUCUCCCUUCUUGAUGUUUCUUGAGUUUUAUCCUAUUGGAGGGGUUUGAAUUACCAUUUUUAUAGUUUAGGAUUAGUUAUUUGAAUUACCAAUUUUGUAUCUUGAGUUAGUUAUAACUAACUCAACUCCAAGUUAAACUAACUCAACCCCAAGUUAGUUUAACAACUCUUGUAAUCUCCAGCCCCUAUAAAAUGGCUUCUCAUUUUCCUUAAUAAGACAUUAAAAAAAAGAGGCAUUAUACAUAAAGAUUUUUAGCUUUGCAAUUACUGCAUCAAUUGGUAUCAAAGCGUGAUCCUAGCUCACUCUUCCCUAAAAAAACUUGGAUCCUACCACUCUUAUCCAUGGACGCGGAAGCCUCCUUCAACCAACGCUUGCAGUUGGUAGAACAAGCUGUUGAAGAACUUCGAAAAGGGCAGUCAGAUAUACAGCAAUCGUUAGUAGAAUUAACAAACCUUUUUACCCGAUUUCAUGUCCAACCUUUAGAAGAAGCAAUUUAGCCCCCAAGAAACCCAAUUGCAGCAAACCACGAAAGACAAGAAAGACCAAGAAACCCAAUUGCAGCAAACCAAAUAAGACAAGAAAGACCAAGAAACCCAAUUGCAGCAAACCAAGAAAGACAAGAAAGACCAAGAAACCCUGAUGUAAACCAAGAACUACUAAGAAAUCAACCUAUUCACAUCCACAAUAAUCGAUUGUAUGGAAACAACGUACCUGGACAUUUCUUAAACGAUUCUAACUCUUCCGAUGAAGACAACUGGCUGAACAUUCAUCAAGAAUCUCAACAAAGGCUUGGACUUUGACCAUACUUUCAAGAAGAUUAAGAAAUACGUAUGAAAGUGGAUCUCCCUACCUUCAAUGGUCGAAUGGAUGUGGAAGUUUCUUGAUUGGAUCAAGAACGUAGAAAUUUUUUUCGACUAUGCCAAUACACCCGAACACAAGAAGGUUCGAUUAGUUGCUCUCAAACUUCAAGGUGGCGCAAGUGCUUGGUGGGAUCAAUUACAAAACAAUAGACGAUUAUUCGGUAAACAAUCUAAAGAUUAGCUGAAUAUCUUAUAAAAGAUGUUGCCGUAGGCUUAGUGGUGACAUGUGAGAAAGUAAGUUGUGUCUUUUAUGGCUCUUAAACGUUGAAGUCAAUCAAUGAGUUCCAAAUGCAAUAUUGGAAGUUUUCUUAAAUAUUUUGAUGCUUUUGCAUGUUGUUAAAGAACUUGGUUAGAUGUGAGAAAGAGGUUUAUGAGAUUGGUUACUUACUAUUCCCUUUUUCACUAUCAUUGCUACUCAAUAGACAUGCUAUGGGCUCGUGUUUCUGUAGAAUAUAAUUCAAAUGCUCUUUCUCUAGAAUAUAAUUUAUAUGUUCUCUCUACAAAUUUGAAGUAAUUUCUACUGUUUCUGCUAAUAUUCUCUGAAGCUUAUUCAAAAUGUAGUUGUUUAAUGACUGUUCAGAUUUAAAAUAUAUUAUAGAGUUAAAUUUAACACAGUUAAUCAACUUAAGCAUUUGACUCUGGUGUUCUUAAGAUAUAAAUUCAAAUCCCUAUAAUUUUAUCAUGUUGAUCUUUUCAAUCUUCUCACAUACCGUCUUCAUUUCAUAAUCUUGCCUACUAGCUGCAUAUCAUCAAUGAAAUUACCAUAUGAGUCCACAUGUGGAGCAAGUUGUUGGAGAUCAUUUUAAAUGAUUAACCAGUCUAUUGGUGGUUUGAGUCUUUCCUUUUGAAUCUAUUGGUUGUUCAAUGAUCUAAUAUUAACUAUGUUUAGAUUUAUGGUAAUUUUCAUUCUUUUACAGCCUUAAUAACCAAGAAAAGGUAUGCUUUGAUAAUCUUUUCUUUCUCUUCGGCAGGUUGGUAAUGUAAAAAGGAUACAUGUAUACUAUGCCCAUGGACUAGAUAGCCCAACCUUUGUUCGCCGGUGUUAUUGGCUCCUAGAUAAGUAUGUUAUGGUUGAAAGAAAAUUGUUAAAUUGCUUUCUACCAGUUGUUUCAGUGGGGUCUAUCCCCAUCAUGCCACAAGCAAAGAAAAAUGAAAUUAGACAGUGGCAGUAUAUCGUGUUCUACUUAUAUAAUUUAUGACUUGCUUCUACUUUUUGUUCAGGACCCUUGAACACAUUGUCCUUGUUCAUUACCGUGAAACACAAGAGGUUAGGUUCAGCACAAUGCAUCUGCCAGUUACUGAAAUAUUAUCUUGAGACAAACUUUUAUCAUUUGGACUACUACAUAUAUUUAAGAUCUGUUGAUUUUUCCUCCAUGGUUGCAAUAUUAAAACUUCAUCCAAAAUAAUGUUGUCAUGUGUGUCUUUAAAUUUUUCUGGCAGUCUGGCACCAUAUAGAUCUAGCAGUUGUGUAUGCAUGUCUUCCUCUCUAUCCUCCAUUGAAAAACUGGAUAAUUACAUGUUUGUGUUUUAUUUUGAUGAUUUAAUCCAACAUUUAUUUAUGGAUAAAGUCAGCCAUAAAAUACAUAUGUUUACUACUGCUUUUUGUACAUUUUAAAUACUAGAUUUCUUGAUGAUUGUUGUCUUUAAGUUGCUCUUAAUGUUGUUGCAUAUCGAGAAAUGCACUGUAAUUUUUGUACCAAUUUUAUCACUGCUUUUAACUAAAUCUUCAAAAAUCAAGGCACCACCUGGAUGUAGAGUGCUAUAUGGUGAUUCAAGUGUUGAGAGUUCUCUUUCUUCUGCUAUCCAUAAAUUUAUGGAAUGGAAAGGCAAUGAUCAUGACACUAUUUUUUGUCAGAUAAACAUUGGUUUCAUAUGCUUCAACUUUGUGGUGCUUCACAGCACACGGAUAAAACUUCCAAACAUUCUGCACCCAAUAUUACCAUAAUGCAUUUGGACACUUCAUUAACAACUUCUUACAAUUAGCCUUUCUAUAUUGAAAAUAAUUCGUUGUCUUAACUUCCUGUUGCUGCUAGUUUCAGAAUUUUCCAUCCACAUCGUUGAACUCAAAUUCUGGUUCUGUCUCUAACCCAUCAACUCCGUGGCUUUUAUCGGAGGAACUUGAUUCCAAGGCUACUCAUGUUUAUUCUCUUGGUGAAAAUGAAUUGUCAGGUGAUACUGGCCGAACCUGUCAAAAAUAAAUGAGUCAUACUUUGUUUGAUCAUUCAUUUUCUAAUCUUUCUUCUUUAUACUUUGGUUGUGUAAUUUCUUAAAAAAGAAUUCUGGUUUAUUUAUAGUAUAUUUGGUAGUAUGCAUGCCUCAGCUCCUUUAAUGCAUGUCUCUUAUAGUAUAUUUGGUAGUCUUUUAUAAUGUUACACCCUUAUUUUUAAUUCCUAAAACCUUUUAACUUUCCAAAUUUUCAUUCAUUCUUUUAGAAAAUUAUUUUCAUUAUUUACUUUAUGGUUACAAAACCAUCCAUUAACUACAUUAAUUAGACAAUUCACUCCAAUAAUAAAUAAAUAACUUUUUUAGAUCUAAGGUCUUUUCUCAUUCUACAAAUUUAAGAAAGAGUUGUGUAUUCCUCCAUCCAUAACUGAUCUCUCUAAUGUGUAUUCCUCCCUCCAUAACUGGCUUACUUUUGAUUGUUUGGAUAGAAAGAAACAAUAGAAUUUUUAAGGAUAAAUCAAGGUUUAUUGUUAACUUGUGGGAAGACAUAUGUAACUUGAUCGGAGUUUGGUCUAGGCGUCAUUCAUCUUGUAACUAAUAUGAUGCUACUACCAACUCUUAACUUUAAGGUUUGUUAGAUUAGGUUGUUCUGGGCUUCCCUCUAGCCUUCAACCUUGUAACUUUAACUCUAUGUUAAUAGAUAAUGACUCUUAUCCUAGGUUUAUCCUAGUUUGAAGGAUUCGGUUUCUUCUUCUUAAAAAAAAAAGUUGUAUUUCGACUACUAUUUGGGAGGAAAAUGUGCUUAACUAACCAAAAAUCUAAUGACACUUCCAAAACCAGUCAUUUCGAAAGAUGUUUCCUCAAUAAUAUAUUUAUAAUGCUCUUCGUUUAUAGAGUAAAACUGUAAAGCAACAAAACCAUUUUAAUUCAUUAUAUAUAUAUAUAUAUAUUUAUUUAUUUAUUUAUUUAUGUAUGUAUAUAUAUAUUUAUGUAUGUAUAUAUAUAUUUAUGUAUGUAUAUAUAUAUUUAUGUAUGUCACUACUACAAAAAAGGCCUUUCUUGACGUUUGUUGUUUUUCUUUCUUGACGUUUUUUGAAAAAAAACGUCAAGAAAGGGGUAGUUCCAAAGAUAAAACGUCAAGAAUUUUUAUGAAAAGGCGGGGUAGGUCAAUUUUCAGAUUUCUUGACGUUUAUUAAACAUCAACUAAUAUGUAUUUUUUCUUGACGUUUUAAAAAUGUCAAGAAAUAUCUAUAAAAAUUUUGACGUUUUUAAAACGUCAAGAAUGUAUAUAUUCAACAUUCUUGACAUUUUUCAAACGUCAAGUAAUAUGUACUUUUACUUGACAUUUUAAAAACGUCAAGAAAUAUCUUAAAAAUUAUUGAUGUUUUAAAACGUCAAGAAUUUUUAUAAAAAGCCGGAGAAGAGUUAUUUUUUAAAUUUCUUGAUGUUUUUUAGACGUCAAGUAAGAUCAUUUUUCUUGACAUUUUAAAAACGUCAAGUAUUAUUAAAUAUAUAUUUAUAUAUAUAUAAGAAAAUAUUGGGUUGAAUCCUUCGAAGCCCUAGACUUGUCUCUGCCGCAUUCGAAAAUGCCAAGUUCUCUCUGAGGAUCUCUCACUUCUGUCUGUCCGCGUUCACUAUGUCGUCUCUGAAAAUGCGUACUAGAUCCUUCGCUUUCAGUCGUUCACCAUCGACUGAGUACGAGAUCCCUAAGACUUCCGCCAUCCCUAAUACUCUGAAAUCGUCAUUCGUUGUCCCUCAAAAUUGUCGUCCUUCUCUCGGAAAACGUCGUCCUUCUUUCGAGUCUUCAUUCCCCUUUAUGUCGUCCUUCUGUAUUUAGAGGUUAUACUUCAUUCCCCUAAAACUUCCAUUCACUGGUUUCCAUAUUUCAAGAAUUUGAAAUUUUUAUAGGAUAUUGCUAGUGGAAAUUAAGUCAAUUCCGUUUGCUCCCAAGCUACCUCCUAAUUAUGCUGUCUGGUUGGGAGAAAUAAAGUCUUUGUCAUAUUUCAAGGUAGUGUAUGUUAACCAACACUUAGUGCAUUUUUGUGUUUAUGAGCUUAUUUUAGUUAAUAUGUUUAUGGCAUAUUAUACGAUGAAAUUGUAGUCGUUUAACACAAAAUUUUGAGGUUCUUUUUCAACUAAUUAUGCUUUAUCUAAUAUAUUUUUCAAAUCUUAAAGAAGAACUUUUGGUUUCAUUGGAGUUUAUCAUUAGAGGCAUUACAAUAUUGGCUGCCUCUCAGUGGGCUAUAGGUUUUCCAAUGGUCAUUUGAGACUGGUUGAUAAUAGCAAAAGUUAGAGCUUGAGAAGAAGGAGCAAAGAAAGUAGUGAAGACAAAAGAAGAAAGAAAGCUGAGUGAAAAACGAAAAUUGACAAGGUAGAGAUGUGAGAUGAAAAUGAUGAUGAGAAGUGAAGGAGGCACGACACAAUACUGGUACACAAUAACAAAGCCUUGAUAAUUAAAAAAAGGAUGGUGCCAAGAACAUUUAAAUACAAAAAAAGAAAAAGAAGGUUCUUGCAAGUGUAUUGAGUGAAUGGGAGAAAGAAAGGAUAAAAAAGGUAGAAAGAGAGAAAGAGAAGUCAAGGGUAGAGAUACAUAGCUUUGUAUAUAGAAACUUUAUGUUUAUACUCCAUUAUACGUUAUGGAGAAUAUAACAUCAUGAUAUGUUUGAUUCAAUUUGAAUGAUGCAAUUAUUUAUUUUUCUGCAAUAAUUCUACUUCUAGAACCUAAAUUUUGAAAGCCUACUAAUUUUGCAGAAUUAAUUCAAGACCCCACUUUUGCUCCCCUUCCUACCUAUGAUUACUUUUUGCUUAAACUUUAAAACUUGUUUGAAAUUUUUUGCUGAAACUUGUAAAAUUUGUUUGAAGUUCGUAUAUCUCUCACAUAUUGCAAGUUUUCUUAAUUAUUUUAUUGAAUUUCCUACGACCCAACUUUUCUAGGUAAGUCGAAGUCAUUAAUUUCAAAUAAAGACCUGAGUUUACACAAAAUCUCAAUCUCAAAUAAUUUCAAAGUCUCAAAGAAAACAAAAAAUUUAUAUAUGGGCCCUGUUUAAAAUAGCCAACACUUUCAAGAAAAGUUUACUAAUUCGUGAAUACAGUUCAACUACAAAAUUUUCUAAACAAUCUCAAGUACUAAAACAAAACACGUGAAACAAAACAUUAAGCAGAAGCAAAUUUAAAAUAACCCCUAUGGCAAUCACGCUUCCUUCCUGCUCCUCGCUGGUUUGUCGUCUUUAUUACCUUUGCCUGAAAAUUAAACAUAAGGAGGGUGAGUAUAAAAAUACCCAGAAGAGACCCUCUACUGGUCCCGUCAGGGGAAAAAUAAAUUGUUAACAUUCUAUUGGGACACCCUGUACAGUCGCAGUCUUGUGAUCCUGUAGGAUGCACAUUUCAGUCUAACGCCCCGAGGGACGUACAUUUCAGUCUAGUGUUCUGCAGAGACACAUAUCAGUCUAAUGCUCCCGAAGGUGCAGAAUAAUUGGUGAUCCCGUGGGACACCUACAAGGCACACAUCCCAAUAAAAGCUAACAAUUUUUCCCCUCAGU